rnacentral:lncRNA from 1 species
ACAAGCAAAGGUUUAAGCUUGGGGGAGUUGAUACAUCUCCGUCGUAUCUACUUUUCCAAACACUUUUGCCCUUGUUUUGGACUCUUACUUGCAUGAUUUGAAUGAAACUAACCCGGACUGACGCUGUUUUCAGCAGAAUUGCCAUGGUGUUAUUUAUGUGCAGAAACAAAAGUUCUCGGAAUGACCUGAAACUUCACGGAGAUUAUUUUUAGAAAUGAUAAAAAAUACUGGCGAAAGAAUCAAGGCCAGGGGACCCACACCCUUUCCACGAGGGUGGGGGCACGCGUGCCCCCCCUGGGCGCGCCCCCUGCCUCGUGGGCCCCCUGGAGCUCCACCAACCUCAACUCCAACUCCAUAUAUUCGUGUUCGGGGAGAAAAAAAUCAGAGAGAAACAUUCAUCGCGUUUUACGAUACGGAGCCGCCGCCAAGCCCUAAACUCUCUCGGGAGGGCUGAUCUGGAGUCCAUUCGGGGCUCCGGAGAGGGGAAUCCGUCGCCGUCGUCAUCAUCAACCAUCCUCCACCACCAAUUUCAUGAUGCUCACCGCCGUGCGUGAGUAAUUCCAUCGUAGGCUUGCUGGACGGUGAUGGAUUGGAUGAUAUUUAUCAUGUAAUCGAGUUAGUUUUGUUAGGGUUUGAUCCCUAGUAUCCACUAUGUUCUGAGAUUGAUGUUGCUAUGACUUUGCUAUGCUUAAUGCUUGUCACUAGAGCCCGAGUGCCAUGAUUUCAGAUCUGAACCUAUUAUGUUUUCAUGAAUAUAUGUGAGUUCUUGAUCCUAUCUUGCAAGUCUAUAGUCACCUACUAUGUGUUAUGAUCCGGCAACCCUGAAGUGACAAUAAUCGGGACCACUCCCGGUGAUGACCAUAGUUUGAGGAGUUCAAGUAUUCACUAUUUGUUAAUGCUUUGGUCCGGUACUCUAUUAAAAGGAGGCCUUAAUAUCUCUUAGUUUCCGUUAGGACCCCGCUGCCACGGGAGGGUAGGACAAAAGAUGUCAUGCAAGUUCUUUUCCAUAAGCACGUAUGACAAUAUUCGGAAUACAUGCAUACAUUACAUUGAUGAAUUGGAGCUAGUUCUGUGUCACCCUAUGUUAUGAUUGUUACAUGAUGAACCGCAUCCGGCAUAAUUCUCCAUCACCGACCCAAUGCCUACGAGCUUUUCACAUAUUGUUCUCCGCUUGUUUACUUUACCGUUGCUACUGUUACAAUUACUACAAAACCCAAAAAUAUUACUUUUGCUACGAUUACCGUUACUUCCAUAUUACUGUGCUACUAAAUACUUUGCUGUAGAUACUAAGUUAUCCAGGUGUGGUUGAAUUGACAACUCACCUGCUAAUACUUGAGAAUAUUCUUUGGCUCCCCUUGUGUCGAACCAAUAAAUUUGGGUUGAAUACUCUACCCUCGAAAACUGUUGCGAUCCCCUAUACUUGUGGGUUAUCAGUGCGACAUUGGAGAGCGCCAAUUUCGAGCUUCAAGAUGACAAGUACUUGGUGAAUGUCCACUUCUACACGGCGAAGCCAUCUCUUUCCCAUGGUGAUUUGGUUUUCGAUCCGAGGUCGGAUCUUUCCCAAGGGUGGGGGGGUGAUGCGGAGCAUCCUAUGGACAUCACCAUGUCAAGAGUCCGUUCGGCGAGUGACACGUGCGACAUAUACUUCAGAUACACAAAGGUGAAUCAUCUCCUUUACACGUGCUCACUUGACCCCUUCGGGGAUGGUAUACUACUUGACACCCCUCUCGUGUGCAUGCAUAUGUAUUGUUAGAGCUUCACGGACGAUGAGGAGUGCAAACGCCAAGGAACAACUACACCAUCCGCGAGGGAAGCCUGGAAGCGACGACGGAAGAAAAGGAGCUGCUGAAGCUACAGUGGUCGGACAUCCGGGCCAGAGGUCGGACAUCCGGCGCCUGUGCAGCCGCCCAACAGCUGCACCAACACUCGGCCGAACAAGCUUCAGUGGCCGGACAUCCGGCGCCUCCCGACAGCCUGGACAUCCGGCAUUUCCCCCGGAAAUCCGGCAGCGACGUAUCGAGAGAACAACCGAAGUGCCACUUUAGCCCAGACAUCCGGCCGAGACCCUGGACAUCCGGCUCGUCCCAAAGCCCCAGACAUCCGGCCCCCAGCCCGGACGUCCGGCACCUGCGCAUGCCUAACCGGGCCAAAGGCCCAUGUAUCCCUUUCCCACUUACCCUUUCGUGGCUUAGAGUAUAUAUACUCCUCCCCCUCCUCCUAGUUAGGGUUAGCAAAGGAUUAGCUCAUUUAGAGAUAGAGCUUUGCUCAUCCAUACGGAUCUACUCCAUGAGAGAGACCACGGCCUCUACGGAGAAGAUCCACCUUGGAUUCAAGACCCCUCACGGGAAGAUCCCCUUGCGGAUUCAAGACCUCCUCAUGGAGAUGAACUUUACCUUGUAUCUUUCCUUUUGUUGUUCAUGUACCUUGUGGAUCUUGUGUGUUUGAUUGUCUAGUGGAUGUGUGAUUGGACUUGUUCUUGAGUGUUUCCCCUUGUGAUUUCUCCCCAUUCUUCCCCGUGUUCAUUGUGUUCUUCGUGUUCUUCGAGGGAAUCCACUCCAAUCGUGAAAGAUCGGCCUACACCGGGCCGGGUUAGCCCCGUAUCACUUCUUGUGAUGAUGUAUUACCGAGAGGUCCGAGAGAUACCUCUCCGUCACACGAAGUGACAAAUCUCAAUCUUGAUCCAUGCCAACUCAACAGACACCUUCAAAGAUACCUGUAGAGCACCUUUAUGAUCACCCAGUUAUGUUGUGACGUUUUAUAGUACACAAGGUAUUCCUCCGGUAUCCGGGAGUUGCAUGAUCUCAUAGUCGAAGGAAUAUGUAUUUGACAUUAAGAAAGCAGCAGCAAUAAGCUGAACGAUCAUAUGAAGCUAACAGAUGGGUCUUGUCCAUCACAUCAUUCUCCUAAUGAUGUGAUCCCGUUAUCAAGUGACAACACAUGUCUAUGGUUAGGAAACCUUAACCAUCUUUUGAUCAACAAGCUAGUCUAGUAGAGGCUCACUAGGGACACAAUAUUUGUUUAUGUAUCCACACAUGUAUUUAAGUUUCCGGUCAAUACAAUUAUAACAUGAAUAAUAAUCCUUUAUCUUGAUUGAGGAAAUAUAAUAAUAACCACUUUAUUAUUGCCUCUAGGGCAUAUUUCCAACACUUUCAUCUGGACUUCAAAUUGGGUGAUUCUUUCUUUUUGUUGCAAAGUAUAUUUCGUGCUCUUUGAAACCCAAUUGGAUUCACCUUCAAAUUCGUCCGGAGCGUUGAGAUAUUGACGAAACAAUUUGACGCUGCAGCAGAAUCCGAGUCAAUCUACAAGUCCAAAGGUGUUGAAUCACCUCCACUUGGGACCAUGGGCCUUGUACAACAUAGGGUUAAUUUUAGGCUGCCUUGGGACGUCCUCCCACCUCCUUGGCCGCCACCCCUUUCUCCUAUAUAAGUAGAUCAAUCUAGUAGCUUUUUGCUUGGGAUUUAUUUAGUUAAAAGUUAGCCAUUGCAACUUCGUGUACUUCGUUUGUGUCCAACGACCAGACCAAGACCUCUUUUGGAUCCCCACUUUUAUCAAUACUUCAUAUAUAUUAGCAAUAUCUAGAUUGCAUUAUCAUAUUAUUGCUUGUUCUUCGAUUACAUGCAGGAAUAUACCUUCGUGGUCAGGCUGAUCAUGCUUCUGGCAUCGUCAGUAACCUCAGGAGAUUGGUUUAGCGAUUGCUAAGGCGCAACGUCGUGCACGUUUGUAUUCGACCGUCAAAGUCGACUCCACCAAAUCGAUAGUUAUCAUCUCAUCGAAAGAUCGGGACACACUCGCCUCUAUCAUAAUGUCUUGACCGAGUUUCAACCUUUUCAUUGUUUUAUCAAGGAUCGGGACACGAGGGACGUUCUUCUUAGAGGUUGACUGCGCCAUGGACCCUAUGCACUUGAUGUGCCGCCUGUCCCUCAGGCUUUCAGCGGCGUGCAUGUGUCGUCUACUCAUUGGCAUGCGCGGCUUGGUCAUCAUGUCACUCGCAUAGUUCGUCAUGUUCUUCAUCGCCAUGAUCUUCCAAUUGUGUCCAAUAAACUUGUUGAAACAGUUUGUGAUGCCUACGAGCAAGGCAAGAGUCAUCAGCUUCCGUUUUCAGAGUCGAGUCGUGUAGUUAGAACUCCACUUCAGCUUGUGUUUUCUUAUGUGUGGGUUCAUGCCCAAACAUCUAUUAGUGGCCAUAAUUACUAUGUCAGUUUUAUUGAAAGGAGCGAAUAUAACAAGCACUUGGACAAACAAAUGUGGUUGGCGUUAGAGCAAAACCAAGCAUUCGAGAGGUGAUUAACCCAACAAGUGUCGUCAUCAAGCAUAGCAUAUGGUUUGACAAAGAAGUGUGGCAUGGCAUUUAAGCAUCUAAAUUGAGCACAAUCAAGGACAUCAUGUAAACGAUCAUGCGAAUGGGAGGUAGAUAUGCUAAUAUGUUUGACAAGAGAACAAGCAUCGACCUCAAGAUCAUAGCAAACAUGCAUAAAGCACUCGACAAAUGGUUGAUGGUAGGCAUAAGAAUCAUUCACAACACCAAAGAAGAUGAUAUGUCUAAACACAUGCAAGUGCAAGACAAUCCAAGCAUAAUGUGCAUAGGGUGUGGUGAAGAUAGUGAGGCACUCAACACAAAUGAGAUAGCAAUUUUGCAACAUGUGCGAGGUAAUCAAGUCAUUCAAGCUAGUAGUGCAAAGAUGCAACAUACGAGAGGAAAUCAUGGCAAUCAUGUCAUGUGAGCAAAUAAUAGGCAUAGGCAAUGCACAUGACAUAUCGUGAGCACGAACACAAAGCAAGAUCAAUGUAUCUUCAUAGGAAAGUAUCACAAAGGAAACAUGGCAAGACCAAGCAAUAUCUCCACCAAGCUUGCAAAUACACAUAGAAGUAGUAGAAUCAAUCAUCAAGUGUAAUGCAAAGCAUGGGUCACAAUUGCAUGGUAAAGGCAUCGGAAUAAGCAUGUCAUGCAAAGUGAACAUGGCAAGAUGGGCAUAUAAUAUGUAAUGGACAAUAACCCAUAGCCAAGUGAGGGCCAUGUAGAAGAAAUGUGCGAAGUCUUCGCACGAAGAGAGCGGUGGGAAAGGCACUGUAGCGACCCGACCCGAAUGGAUCAAGUCUCUGUGCUUAAUUGUCAUCCCUGGAUCGGUAUGCUGACACACACAGUACUCGAUAUAGCGGAAGUAACAACAAAGUUGUGGAUUCCCAUCAACACCAACGGCAACGUUGAGUGUAGACAUCGUAACCCUAAUGUAUUACUUACUCGUCGUAAGAAUCCUGCAACAUGAGACGUUGCAGCCACAAAGGGUCAGUACAUUGAAUGUACUGGCAAAUCCACACCAUAGAGCAAUGAUGAAUAAUAGCUAUCACUACAUGCAUAUUUGGCUGGUGGAGGCUCUAGGUUUAAUUUUGCAUAAAGCCAAAUUUUCCCUACAACAAAGGAAUAUAUUUUAUUUUUCUACAAAAUUCGUUGAAAUAUUGAGAAGGUUCCUCCAACUCAAUCCCAAAAUAAUAAUUAUAACCCACAUUUUAAUUAAUAGAGUGAUGAGAUCAAAUCAAUAAUUCAAGUACCAGAUACUCAAGAUGUCCAUAACCGGGGACACGGCUAAUCAUGAUUAGUUUGUACACCCUGCAGAGGUAUCCGAACUUAGUUUGAGAAAUGGAUGACCGAGACACAGUCUUUCUGAAGAGGUCCCCUUAACCGAUAGAUAGGCCGAUACACCUACAAUCCCUACAUCUGCUAGCCCAUCAUGGAAAGGUUUCCCACAACUUACUCAACUAUGCUAGAGCCCAUAAUGGCUUGUGGCUGCACACGGAAGCUUCUAACAUGAAUAAUUUUAUGAUCCCUUUGAGCCUCAACUAUGCCAGAGCCCAUAAUGGCUUGUGGCUGCACACGGAAGUUUCUAACAUGAAUAAUUUUAUGAUCCCUUUGAGCCUGGGUGGCAAACCAUAGGAUGAUCACACGGGUACUACGGGAUAUCCCAGGACAACGCUGGAUUGCUCCAGGUGCCCAGACAACCACCGGGUGCUCCAGGGUGUCUCAACCAAUCCACCCAGAUGUGUAUUAAAGUAGCCACCUUAAGUUAAACCUUAGUUAACAAUAAUCUCUCACAUCUUUCAUGAAUACACUAAAAGCAAUCCACGUCUACGAGCAUAGCAUAGCAGUAUAGGCAUAACGUAGUACCACCCAGGGUUUGAAAUAAAAGACAAUAGGUUCUACCUCAUCAACUACUUCCCGAUACCCACAUGUUAUCAAGUCCUAACCAUGCAGUGUUUGAGGAUUGAAACUAAUGCAUAAAAACUGGGUAAUAAAGGGGUAUGAUCAAAGUGUUACUUGCCUUGUACUGUUGAUGAAGAUGAUUCGCACUCAAUAUUCCUAACGAACGAACAGCUCACUAAACAGAACUAACGAACGAACGUUCGUUAGAUUAGGAAAAAGAGCGAACGCGUAAACGUCGUCGGAUCUCGAUCCGACGGACGGGAUCGGGGCUAGGGUUUACCGAUACUCCGGCGAGGUCGACGGACGGCCGCGGCUCUGGCAUGUGGCUGCGGGAGGCGGCGAGCGGCGUGAGAGGCGGCGCGGGCUAGGCAGCGACGGCGGCGCAGCACCUCGGCGGCGGCGAGCGACUAGCGGCGACGGCGAAUGGCGGCUGUGCGGCGGCGAGAUGCGGCGGUGGUGACGCUAUGCUCGGGCGGCGGGGCGGCUCGGGAGGAGGCGAGGGGUGGCGUCCUCGCCUUUUAAAGGCGGAGGGGGAGGGCGUGGCUUGGAGGAGGGGCCGGGUCGGCGCCCGAGUCCGGAGACGGCACUACGGCACCGGCGUGCUCGGGCGGGACUCCGCCCGGAGUCGGAGGCGAGCGGGGCGCGCGGGUGCGCUGGGUGGGCCGUGGCCUGGCCCGGUUGGUUGGGUCGGCCCAGUCCGCGGAGGAAGUUUUUUUUAAUAAACACAUAGUAAAAGAAAAAAAUGAAAAACCACAUAAAAUUAAAAUAUAAUAUAGGCAUAUUAUAUAUCACAAUUUUCAUAAAAGGAUCUUCUACAACUUGAACAUUUUUCUACCGUCAAAUAAAAUCCACAAAAAUUUAAAUAAAAUAAAGAGUGCUACCGAUUUAUUUAAAACUCAAUAAAAAUCAUUUUAAAAAUACCAAAAUGAUUUCAAAUUUAUUUCUCUCCAAUUUUCUAUUGUAGGUAAUCGUUUUACCCUAAUUUUCAUAUAUAUUAUUUUUGGAGAAAAAUAAUUUGAAAAAAAAACAAAUAACUCCAAAUUGAAAAUAAUUUCAAAGGGACUUUAAUUUUGAUUCUUUUAAACUCCCAACUCAUAUUUCAUACGAUUUGAAGAAGUCAUUUUAUCUUCUCUCAUGAAAAUCAUUGAGUUGCUUAAAGUUUCUGAAUUGAAUUGUUUCCAAAUGAAAUUCAAAUCUUUUUCAAAAACCCUUUUUCAUUUAAUUAAAUGGAAGAAGUCAUAUCAUCUUCUCUCUAGGGUUUUGUGAUGAAAUGAAAUUUGAAUUCAUGGAGAUCAUAAAUGCAAGGUGAAAGUUUGGGAAAGUCAUUUCAUUCCCUCUCAUUCAACUUUCAAAAGUUUCAAAUUUCACUCAAUUUCACACAAGCAACCACACCACAAUCAAACAAACAAUCAAAACUAUCUAUUUGAUAUAACAUUCCAAAAUUUAGAAUUUGGGGAUGUUACAAACCUGGCACCUUUAAAAUGAAUCUCGUCCUUGAGAUUCGGAGAGGCUAGAAAGAAAUAUGUUAGGUUCGGGGGUCUUCUCGAAAUCCAUCAAUCGUCACAGGGGGUCUGGGGUGCUACCAUCCUUAGAAACAUGGUCACGGUUCCAUCAAAACUCAUAUACUUCAUUCUUAUUGUUGGUAGUGUCGAUCUUCUGAGAUCUUCAGGAUAAUUCCUUCUUUGGGCUCUUCCGGUAGUGGCGUAACCUUUUUCCUUGAUUCUUCUAUCUUUUUAUCGAGGUACCUUUCUUCUGUGACUGGGUCUUCUUAGCUAACGGGUCUGGCGCCAAUACUAAACAACUAUCGAUAUCUCAUGGUGGUCAUCAAACAAUCUGACUGGGUCCCUGCAGAAAACAGGUCUGGGCUUCAUUCUCACCGUAUGGCCUACGAUUGGCAACAGCUGCCUUGUACAAGGGGGAAAUUGUCAUACCAUUCUAAGGUUUAAACAAGGUUUUGAUCGUCGUCGCUCUACUAUGGGUAAGUCACUCAGAUUUACCAUUCCAUAUAGCAAGGCGAAUAAUAAGAGUAAGUCGGUAUGGUGAUCAAUCCAUCCCGCACCCAAAUCAUUACCUUGUAUAUGGUUUAGUGAAUCUCGCAUUCUAACACUCGGUCAUCCUCACAAGCAUUGCAGAAUUUCUCUUGUCGACGAACUAAGUUCGGAUAAAUCCAUGGAUUCUGCAAGCCAAACAAACAUCUAUCGUUUCUUCACAACUCUCAGGUUUGCGUUGCUCCUAUAAGAAUCGUCUGUUGAUAAACGUAACUUCUUCCCGGGUUUUCCUUUAGCAAGAGUGUGCUUGCUUCUUGGCAGGUCCUGCGGCCUGUGGCUUAUGGCCCAUCUCAUCACUUGUAAACCUUGAACUCAUCAUUGGGGCAACUCAUCAUUAUUCCAACAUCCAGCUUUCUAGCAUUCUUAAAUCCAUCCAAUUGUAUUGUCUCCUUUCCUUCUAUUGGUACCUAACUAAGACGUGAUUACUCAGACUCACCAUAGAGUUACAAUUGCUCCAUAUUGCCAACAUUCUACCUCCUUUAUAUCCAAUAGUACUUCAUCCCUUCAUACUCUUGGGGUAUCCCACAUAUCAAGAUAAAACUCGUACUUAUUUUGUCUGAAAUCCACUCCAUGGAAUAUCAUUAUAUUUUCCAGGGGUCAAGGGUCCUCACAGGGUACUACCACCCCUUGAAAUGCACAAACUCAUCCAUAGACCAUAUUUGUCAUAUCCUCGAAAAAUGGUCAAAAUCUUUCUUCAUAGAGUAACAACUCAUAAAAUCCAAAUCAGUACCAACGAUGCUAACUCUAUUGAUUCUCCAAUUAUUACAAUCUCCUGCAUUUCCAUUACAUGCCUCAACUCAACAUCUCAAUAUAAAAGAAUUGUUCCCACACUACUUCUAUAUUUCUCACAGACUCAACUAUUUAACACAAGCCUCCUUCUCUUUGGGACAAUCUCUGGCAAAGUGCCCUACUUCAUUACAAUGGAAACAUAUUACUUCUGACAGUUCUCGUAGUUUCCUUGUGAUUACAUAGCCUCCUUGGGUCCUCGGCUUUCUUUUAGGGCAACCGCUGAAGUAGUGCCCUGACUCCUUGCAUCUGAAACAGGUGAUAUGACUCAGGUCCUUCCUGGAAUCCAAUCUAUUUCUCUUCCUGGACUUUUCCGUUCCAAUUAGGGCUUCUAUUUCCUGUCGGUCAUACUCUACUUCUUCUAUCGGGAAUUCUACUAGGUCCCCAUUCAGACAAUUUUGGGAGAUGUGUCCUUAUUCUCCACAUGAAUAGCAAGACUUGGUGCAGGGUUUAGUUGGGUAUUCUUCGGGUGUGUCCUAUUUCUCCACAGAGCUUGCAUGCACCAGGUUUCUUCAUAUCAUUACCAUAAGGCUUCAACUUCUGGAACACCAGCCGAGACUUUAGCAGAGUCAACUUAAAUCCUUUCCAAGUGGUUACUCUUUGCCAUCCAUUGAUGGUUUGGUACAUCCUCCACCAAGUAGCAGCACCUCUUUCAAAGUACUGAAGAGCAUGAUGGGCCAUAUCGUUUCCGGCUAUAGUGUUAUUCUUCAUGUGAUCUUCCAUGUUCUGAAUCCAUCGGUCCGUCUCCAAUUGAGUCCUUGAUCCAGAAAAUAUGCGUUCAUCUCCAUUCAUCCUCUAUUGGUUCCGAGGGUUUUGGGGUGAGAUAAGAGAGAUAGAGAGGGAUACACACAAUACAAACAAUAGUUAUGAAAAGAUAGUUUUUUUAUUUUGUGGCUGUCGAAAAAAACAUCAAACAAAUGACAGCUCACAAUCGUCGCAUCUCACGUAGGUAUAUAAGAGGGGUUUGGUCUUCUAAAGGUCAAUAAAUCUUCAAGGUCGCCAAACUCUUCAAGUCUUGUUCAUGUCUCCGAUGGCUUCUUCCGAUCAUGCUUGUCCUUCUUCAGUUCAAUUUGCCAGAUCAUCUCUGUUGACGCAAAGUCUCUCGUGACGUCCUUUAAUAUUUCUGGAGUUGCAUUCUAAACUUCUGGGUUUCAACAUCAUUGGCAUGAACCAUGGUCCUACUGUCCUUCAGUUCCUGACGAAUCUCCGAUAUCUCGAGGUUUUGCUCCUCUAGCUUGGCUAUUUUCAGCUUCUAGGUCCCGAGUUCUUCACGAAAUGCUUCCUUGUCAAAACGGCUUCCUGAAGGUCCAUCUUAAAAUUAUUGAUGUAAUACUCCAGAUCCUGGCGAUACACCAGCUAAGGUUAAAACUUCAUCUUUUGCUGAUAGGUGCUCCAUUAGCCCAUUUGUCAUCCAAUCCUUCCGAAGAAAUGCAUGCUUAACUCAGCACGGUGACAAUAGCAUGAGCGGGCGAUAACAUCAUGGAUAGCCGUGUUUAUGCCCAUGUCUCUGCCAUGAGCUAUCAUUCCAUAUUUGAUAUCUCCUACCUUGGGGUUUUCUUGGCAAAAACUUUGACUCUAAUACUCCAUGUUCCGGGUUUUUUCUGUGCCACACCUUGAUCUCGGAUAUUGACAGCUUCAAUAGUCUGACAAGUUCCAUUAGGGUAGCCUUCCUAGGUCAUACCAAUCUGCAAAUUCUACAGAGCCUUCAAAUUCUCCUAGUAUUUGGAGUCUUCAACCGUUGUAGUUUCCAUUAUUGUAAUGCUCGGUAAAAUCCUCUUCAUUCCGAAGUGGUCUUAGUUGUCCGAUAUCUUGUACUUCUUGGAGUGGUCUCAUCAGUCGAAUCUUUGUGUGGUCAAAAGGGGAAAGGGUAUAGUCUAACUAAAAGGGAAUAUUUUGAUAAAGCUCAGAAAAGAAGAGAGGUAAAAGAUCUUUUUGAGAAUAAAGUUUUAGAGAAAAAUCUUUCCUAUGGGAUUGCCAGUUUCUAGGGGUCACGUCCUACAGUCAACAUGUGCUCUGAUACCAUCUUGUAGCGACCCGACCCGAAUGGAUCAAGUCGCUGUGCUUAAGUGUCAUCCCUGGAUCGGUAUGCUGACACACACAGUACUCGAGGAUUUAUAACAGAGGUAAAUCACAUGUAUAAAGUAACGUAAAUACUAUUACCUCAAUCCAUAUAGCGGUAGUAACAACAAAGUUGUGGAUUCCCAUCAACACCAACGGCAAAGUUGAGUGUAGACAUCGUAACCCUAACGUAUCACUUACUCGUCGUAAGAAUCCUGCAACAUGAGACGUUGCAGCCACAAAGGGUCAGUACAUUGAAUGUACUGGCAAAUUCACACCAUAGAGCAAUGAUGAAUAAUAGCUAUCACUACAUGCAUAUUUGGCUGGUGGAGGCUCUAGGUUUAAUUUUUCAUAAAGCCAAUUUUUUCCUACAAUAAAGGAAUAUAUUUUAUUUUUCGACAAAAUUCGUUGAAAUAUUGAGAAGGUUCCUCCAACUCAAUCCCAAAAUAAUAAUUAUAACCCGCAUAUUAAUUAAUAGAGUGAUGAGAUCAAAUCAAUAAUUCAAGUACCAGAUACUCAAGAUGUCCAUAACCGGGGACACGGCUAAUCAUGAUUAGUUUGUACACUCUGCAGAGGUUUGCGCACUUUUCCCCACAAGAAUCGAUCUCCUCCAUUGAAUUUCUCACACUACAUGAUGUUUGAGAAAUGGAUGACCGAGACACAGUCUUUCCGAAGAGGUCCCCUUAACCGAUAGAUAGGCUGAUACACCUACAAUCCCCUAAAUCUGGUACCCAUCAUGCAAAGGUUUCCCACAGCUUACUCAACUAUGCCAGAGCCCAUAAUGGCUUGUGGCUGCACACGGAAGUUUCUAGCAUGAAUAAUUUUAUGAUCCCUUUGAGCCUGUGUGGCAAACCAUAGGAUGAUCACACGGGUACUCCGGGAUAUCCCAGGACAACGCUGGAUUGCUCCAGGUGCCCGGACAACCACUGGGUGCUCCAGGGUGUCUCAACCAAUCCACCCAGAUGUGUAUUAAAGUAGCCACCUUAAGUUAAACCUUAAUUAACAAUAAUAUCUCACAUCUUUCAUGAAUACACUCAAACCAAUCCACGUCUACGAGGAUAGCAUAGCAGUAUAGGCAUAACGUAGGAACACCCAAGGUUUGAAAUAAAAGACAAUAGGUUCUACCUCAUCAACUACUUCUUGAUACCCACAUGUUAUCAAGUCCUAACCAUGCAGUGUUUGAGGAUUGAAACUAAUGCAUAAAAACUGGGUAAUAAAGGGGUAUGAUCAAAGUGUUACUUGCCUUGUACUGUUGAUGAAAAUGGUUCAGACUCAAUAUUCCUGAUGGUUCUAUUCGUCACACUUCGUUCAAUCUAUCGAGAGCAAGCAAUUGCAUACAUAAGCACUCAUGCAAAAGAAUCGAAGAAAGAUCUCGGAAACCUUCGAAAACAAGCAAUUAACUCUUGCAACAUAAAACAAUUUCUAACAGUACGAAAAUUGGGUGAAUUUGGCCUUAUCAGAAAGUUUAGGUCAAGAGCUUCGAUUUGCAAAAAGAAUCAACUAAAUCGGAGUUGUAAAACUCAAGUUAUGAACAAAAGAAGUUUGAAUUCAAAUAUGUUUGAAAUCAAAUUUUAAACUUUCAAAAAAAAAUGUUUAAGUUGGUUAUCUGGAUAGAGGGGAUCAUAAUGAAGAAGUGGGCGUUGGUUUCGUUGGAUUUGGAAAAACGUGUAAAAAGUAGUGAGAGUUUUAAGAUCAGGGGCUAAUCUAUGAAUAAAUUAUUCACAAACAGGUCCCUGGCAGAAAAUAAAAAAACGAAAAGUCUAACGAGCGAACGCUCGCUACGGAACCCUAACGAACGAACAGUUUGCUAAAAAGAACUAACGAACGAACAUUCGUUAGAUUAGGAAAAACAGCGAACGCGUAAACGUCGUUGGAUCUCGAUCCGACGGAUGGGAUCGGGGCUAGGGUUUACCGAUACUAAGGCGAGGUCGGCGGACGGCGGCGGCAGCGGCUCUGGCGUGCGGCUGCGGGAGGCGNNNNNNNNNNNNNNNNNNNNNNNNNNNNNNNNNNNNNNNNNNNNNNNNNNNNNNNNNNNNNNNNNNNNNNNNNNNNNNNNNNNNNNNNNNNNNNNNNNNNNNNNNNNNNNNNNNNNNNNNNNNNNNNNNNNNNNNNNNNNNNNNNNNNNNNNNNNNNNNNNNNNNNNNNNNNNNNNNNNNNNNNNNNNNNNNNNNNNNNNNNNNNNNNNNNNNNNNNNNNNNNNNNNNNNNNNNNNNNNNNNNNNNNNNNNNNNNNNNNNNNNNNNNNNNNNNNNNNNNNNNNNNNNNNNNNNNNNNNNNNNNNNNNNNNNNNNNNNNNNNNNNNNNNNNNNNNNNNNNNNNNNNNNNNNNNNNNNNNNNNNNNNNNNNNNNNNNNNNNNNNNNNNNNNNNNNNNNNNNNNNNNNNNNNNNNNNNNNNNNNNNNNNNNNNNNNNNNNNNNNNNCGGGUGCGCUUGCUGGGCCGUGGCCUGGCCCAGUCCGCGGAGGAAGUUUUUUUUUAAUAAACACACAGUAAAAGAAAAAAAGAAAAACCACAUAAAAUUAAAAUAUAAUAUAGGCAUAUUAUAUAUCAAAAUUUUCAGAAAAAGAUCUUCUACAACUUGAACAUUUUUCUACCGUCAAAUAAAAUCCACAAAAAUUUAAAUAAAAUAAAGAGUGCUACCGAUUUAUUUAAAACUCAAUAAAAAUCAUUUUAAAAAUACCAAAAUGAUUUCAAAUUUAUUUCUCUCCAAUUUUCUAUUGUAGGUAAUCGUUUUACCCUAAUUUUCAUAUAUAUUAUUUUUGGAGAAAAAUAAUUUGAAAAAAAAAACAAAUAACUCCAAAUUGAAGAUAAUUUCAAAGGGACUUUAAUUUUGAUUCUUUUAAACUCCCAACUCAUAUUUCAUACGAUUUGAAGAAGUCAUUUUAUCUUCUCUCAUGAAAAUCAUUGAGUUGCUUAAAGUUUCUGAAUUGAAUUAUUUCCAAAUGAAAUUCAAAUAUUUUUCAAAAACCCUUUUUCAUUUAAUUAAAUGGAAGAAGUCAUAUCAUCUUCUCUCUAGGGUUUUGUGAUGAAAUGAAAUUUGAAUUCAUGGAGAUCAUAAAUGCAAGGUGAAAGUUUGGGAAAGUCAUUUCAUUCCCUCUCAUUCAACUUUCAAAAGUUUCAAAUUUCACUCAAUUUCACACAAGCAACCACACCACAAUCAAACAAACAAUCAAAACUAUCUAUUUAAUAUAACAUUCCAAAAUUUAGAAUUUUGGGAUGUUACAGGCACUCCAUGGGAUCCCAAGUCAUCAUUGCUCUCUAGAGCUCGUUUUGUCAACUCAUGGGAUUGUGAGGUUGACAAGUAUUCAUGAGUAGCUACACAAAAGAGACACAAACCAAAGAAAUUGUGUGUGUGGUAAAUGUACACAUCAUCCAUCAUGAUGUGUAUGUGCUCGUGAGAGUUAGCACAAGAUAAGUAUCGCUCAAAGAAAUUGGAAACAUGGUAUAUAAACAUGUCAUCCAUCAUGAAAGAAUAGUUGUUAGGUAUAACAUGAUUGUGAUGCGAAUUUAGCGUACAAGUAUAUGGCACAUCAAUAUCAUUUUCAUUCAUGGGGAGCAUAUGGUGCACAUAAGUAGUGGGAUCAUGCAAUGGAUAGGAUGAAUCAAAAUCUCCUAAAAUGUAUGACGAAACUAUGGGGGUCUCCUCAUGAGCAUAGUGGAAACAUCAUAUGGAGAAUAUGAACAACAUCCAAAACAAUGCAUAUCCGAAGCUAGGUGGUCAUGGCAUGGCAUAUGUGAUAAAUGAUGCAAAGGGAGCAUAUCAAUAUCAUCACAAGAGAAACAAAUGCCAAUAACCAUGGGCUUGUCAUCUAUCCCAUAUGUGCAAAUUGGGUUUAUGUUGAUGGCAUAUGCAUAGUCACUACGAUGAGAUUGCAAAUAUGACAUAUUGUUGAUCUCAUGCAUAGCAUAUGACAAGUCAAACGGAUUGUCAAACAUGAUGUGACCGAGAGAAUUAUCACAAGAAAUCCUAUGUAACAUGGCAUCGCAACUAAUAGACUCCACAUGGCAAUCAUCAAACUCAUCAUAAAUGGGUAAAUCAUCGCAUGGGGAAGUCGAACUAGCAUGAAGCAUGACAAUAGGUGGAUCAACAUCAUGCAAGCACUCAAUGUCGAGAAUGUCCACUAGUGGGACUAGAGCAUCACCUUCACCUAUAUUACCUUGCUCAUUCCACUCAAGUGGUGUAGGUGAGGUGGCAAAGACCAAAUGGUGGUCAUCAUCUUCAUCUUGAUGGAACCAUGUGGGGUGCAUCAUGUUCCACCAUGGCCAUUGUCUUGUCCAUAGGAAGGACGAAGUCGUCGCGGAUCGGCGCAUCAUCAUAUAUGGGACCUAGCACCAAAUGAGAAGACACAAUAGAGGUAGAGGUUAAGUUAUUAGAAAUCGAAAUGGCCUCACAUGCCCUAUCAACUACCUCACUCUCUCUAUGUGGUGGUGGCUCACUCGCUCCCUCAAGGUAGGUGCACUCAAUGUCACAUAUGGUGGAGUCACUCAAAUCACUCAAGUGGUGGUGGUGGUGGCUCUCCUCACAUGGGAAUUAGGGCAGCUCAUCAUAUAUGGGGCUAGUGGUGAAUUCACUCUCACUCUCAAUAUGGUGGCAAUAGUCACUCAAGUCAUCAUACAUCGCCAUGGUCGAAGGGAAGAUCCCAUGCUCAACCAUCUCGUAGUCGUUGUCGUGGAUGAAGGCCGAAGAUGGCACAUCAUCACUCUCGUCGUGGGUGAAGGCCGAAGAUGGCACAACAUCCCUCUCGCCAUGGAUGAAGGCCGAAGAUGGCACAUCAUCACUCUCCUCCAUGACCGAAGGGAAAAUCCCAUGCUCGAUCAUCUCGUCACCGUCGCCGUGGAUGAAGGCUGAUGUAGGCGUACUCGUCGGAGGUAGGCAAAGAUGUCGUACGUCCAAAGGCGAAGAUGCCUUGAUAACACUUGGCGAAGAUGCCGAAGUGGUGGUAGUAGCCGUAGCUUCCUCUCGGUGGUGAAGAUGUUGUAGUCGAUGGCGCUCUUCGUCGCCAUACACCUUGGGCUUGCGGUCAUCUUGGCGGUCGUCUUGAAGAUGAUGACGGUGCCGCGUGGUACUCUCAUCGUGUGGCUGUUUCAAAGACUUGCAACUGGAGCGUCUCUGCCUUGAAGAUGACAAAGAGGAAGAAGACUUGUAGUUGGCCCACACGUGUCGGAUGUCAUCCAAUUGUGCGUCGAACUUGGUGUUGAUGUAGUCCCUUUUCCGUGCUUCGCUUUGGUGAAUGUCGACGGUGAGUCACUCAAUGCCUCGCAUUGCUCGUUGCAGUCCGAAGAUGGACGUUUUGGUGAUGUAGUUGUUCGCGUCGUCGUUGUCGUGGAAGACCGGAGAUGAAAUGCCUUGCCUAUCCAUCACAAGAUUCAAGCAGAUGUGACUGGAAGAAAGGAAAGAACUAGACCAAAUGUACCUUUCCAAUGUUGAAGAUGGAUCAAUGAUCACUCAAUAAUGUGUCAAGGAAAUAGCACAAUUGGUACCGGAUCUUGUCAAUUCUCACACCUACACAAGUAAGGCUUAUGGUGGAGCUCGGUGAGGAUAGUGGCACAAAAAUUUGAUGCAAAAUGUUAGCAAGAGUCAAUAUGUUGAAAAAGAUUCACAAAUUCGCAAGUGAAACAAGUAGACCAAUAGCAAUGGGUGACAUACGAAAACACACACAUAUAGAUAAAUGGGGUCGUGCAACCAGGGAAUGAGCACAAAAUAUGGAAUCCACAGAAAACGCUCGUGUUGCACAACUCUAGAGAGACGCUAGCACGAUUUCUCAGUAGGCAGAUACGACACUUGUGCACAACCUAGAAGAUGAAAAAUGUAUCAACUUUCUAUCCCAAGUAUGCUAUAUAUGUAUGAUGUUCCGGUGUUUCGCAUACGAUGAUCCAAGAUGAUCCAUAUGGUAGUAUGGUAUGCAAUGUGGCGAUGCUAUGGCUCUUGCUUACAAGCUUCUUUGCUCUCUUUUUGCUUAAAAGCUUAUUCUUUUUUUUUGUUUUUUUUGUAUGGCCACUAUGCGAAAUGCACAAACCAAGAUAGCAAUUGUGUAUAUGCAGGAACAAUCUUGUGACACAAGGGAUGAUAUGAUGAUACCAAGAUGAUACCAAUGUGAUAUGGUAUGUAUGCAAUGGAAGGUACGGAUCACUAAUGUGCACAAGUAACGUUGCCGGCAAUACUCAAUGGCUAGUCUCGAUAGGCAAGGGACGCAAAAUGGGCUAGGGGUUAACAAUGUAAUGGCAAGAAUGUACAAUGAUGGGAUACCACGAUACCAAGAUGAUAUAGGGGUUACCGUUCUUGCUUACGGUUAGGGUGGGGUGAAGUGGUCAAUGUCGAAUCCUUGGCGAAGAUGAGCGACGGUGUUGUCGAUCUCGAACCGUUCCUAGUUAGCCGAAACACCCUAGGAAACGGAAAAACCGCAAACUCAAAAUCUCAAAGGAAAAUGUCAAAUGGUGGUAGCGGAAUGCUUUCGUGGUUCUGGAGUCUACGAGGGUGCGGGCACCCGGGGUGGUCCGGGGCAAAAAGCCCGGGGGUGCGGGUGCCCGGGUGUUCGGGGUGCGGGCACCCGGGGUGGUCAGCGGGGAUGCACGGGGGGUCCGGGUGCCCGGGGGUCCCGGAUUUGGGCGGAAAAUCAUGGAGAAAUGGAAGAAAUUGGUGGAUUUCAUGGAGGGAAAGGUGAAGAUGGAUGGGGGGAAGGCUAGAUCCACUUGAAACCAAGCAAAUCCAUGGAUCAAAUCCAACAAAACCUCAUCAAACCAACAAAUCACAAAAAACAAUUGAGGCUAUUUUUGGUGGGGAAUUUUCAAAAUUGGGGAAGAACACAACAAAAUUAGGCUAGAGAACAAGAAGGGGGCUCCAAUUUCGUGAGAAACCAUGGCUCAUGACACCAAGAUGUUGUAGGGUGGAACCCUAGGUGAAGAUCUUUCACGAAUUGGAGGGGAAAUCCCCAAGAACAAGAAGAACACAAAGGGGGAAAACAAGAGGAACACUCAAAUUGACUUGAUCCAAUCACACAUGUGCUAGAUCCAAUCACACAAAGAGAGAUACAAGGGUCCAAAUCCAACACAAGAAGAUACAAGAGGUAACUAGUUCAUCCCAAUCCUAUGAGGAGAGAGGUCUUGAUGAUCCUAUGAUGGGGAUCCUUCCCUAGAUGGGGCCUUGAAAUCCACAAGAGGAUCUUCUCCCUUAGGAGGUCAUGAUAUCCAAGAGGAAGAUGAGAAAAGCUCUCUCAAUAUCUCACAUAUACUUUGCUAUCCUUCUAAUGAGAUAGGGAAGGGGUAUAUAUAGUCUAGGGAUGAAAUAGAGGGGAGAGAGGGGUACAAGGGUCAAUUGCCCAAAAUGCACGCAGGUAUAUUCGGAGUCGCCCGGGCACCCGGGGUGCGGAGGACCGGGCACCCGGUCCGGUCAGGAAGGCCGCAGCCAAGUGGUUGUAGGGGCCGGGCACCCGAGGGUUGAUGGCCCGGGCACCCGGUGCGGGCUAGGGCCGAGCCCAGGAGGAGGCCGGGCACCUGGGGGUGAUGGCCCGGGCACCCGGGGUGGCGGAAGGCACCCAGGCGGGGCAGGCCGGGCACCCGGGGCGGCCAGGCGAGGCCCAGGUGGGGCGGCUGGGCACCCGGGAUGGCCUCUGCCAACGCCCAGGUCGGGGCCGGGAACCCGGGGCCGAAGUGGCCGGGCACCUGGGGCGGCCAGGGUCUUCCCCAGCCGGCCGGAGGAGGGGGCCAGGCACCCGGGCUACAGACGGUCGGGCAUCCGGGGUAGUCCGGGGCCUUCCUUGCUUCACGAUUCCUCCAUCCUUCUUCCUUCUUCUUCUCCAUAUGUGCUUGAAUCUCCCUCCUAGCUUCUUCAUGGACUUCUUCUUGGUACCUAAGAAUGCACAACAAUUUCGUUAAUGCACAACAAUUCCGUUUGAGGUAGAACCCGAUUCUCGUGUGAAUUCGAAUGGAUUUCGAAGAGGAAGGAGUCAACCUCGGUUUCGAUGGCACGUCCACGUGCCCUUGUCCUAGGUCCUCUCCGUGCUUGCGGUGGUGGUGUGACGUCCAUGGGGAUGGUCGAGGGAUGCUCCACAUCACUAUCACACCCGAUCAUCACGUGGUGUCUCAGCACGAAGAACUUUCGCAACGGUGCAUACUCAGGGAGAAUACUUAUACCUUGAAAUUUAGUUAAGGGAUCAUCUUAUAAUGCUACCGUCGUACUAAGCAAAAUAAGAUGCAUAUAAAAGAUAAACAUCAGAUGCAAUCUAAAUAUGUGACAUGAUAUGGCCAUCAUCAUCUUGUGCUUUUGAUCUCCAUCUCCAAAGCAUCGUCUGCUGGGGAACGUAGUAAUUUCAAAAAAAUUCCUACGCACAUGCAAGAUCAUGGUGAUGCAUAGCAACGAGAGGGGAGAGUGUCGUCCACGUACCCUCGUAGACCGAAAGCGGAAGCAUUAUGACAACGCGGUUGAUGUAGUCGUACGUCUUCACGAUCCGAUCGAUCCAAGUAUCGAACAUGCGGCACCUCCGAGUUCAGCACACGUUCAGCUCGGUGACGUCCCUCGAACUCACGAUCUAGCAGUGCUCCGAGGGAGAGUUCCGUCAGCACGACGGUGUUAUGACGGUGAUGACGAUGCUACCGACGCAGGGCUUCGCCUAAGCACCGCUACGAUAUGUCCGAGGUGGAUUAUGGUGGAGGGGGCACCGCACACGGCUAAAAGAUCAACUGAUCAACUUGUGUGUCUAUGGGGUGCCCCCUUCCCCGUAUAUAAAGGAGUGGAGGAGGGGGAGGGGGCUGGCCUCCUAGGCGCGCCCCAAUGGGAGUCCUACUCCCACCGGAGUAGGACUCCAACCCUUCCAAGAGUAGGAGUAGGAGGGAAGGAAGGAGGAGAGAGGGGGGAGGAAAAAGGGGGGCGCCCCCCCCCCCUUCCUUGUCCAAUUCAGACUAGAGGGGGAGGGGGCGCGCGGCCUGCCCUGGCCGCCCCUCCUCUUCUCCACUAAGGCCCAAUAGGCCCAUUACACUCCCCGGGGUGUUCUGGUAACCCCCCGGUACUCCGGUAUUUGUCUGAACUUACCCGGAACCCUUCCGAAGUCCAAACAUAGUCAUCCAAUAUAUCGAUCUUUAUGUCUUGACCAUUUCGAGACUCCUCGUCAUGUCCGUGAUCAUAUCCGGGACUCCGAACUACCUUCGGUACAUCAAAACACAUAAACUCAUAAUACCGAUCGUCACCGGACGUUAAGCGUGCGGACCCUACGGGUUCGAGAACUAUGUAGACAUGACUGAGACACGUCUCCGGUCAAUAACCAAUAGCAGAAACUGGAUGCUCAUAUUGGCUCCUACAUAUUCUACGAAGAUCUUUAUCGGUAAAACCGCAUAACAACAUACGUUGUUCCCUUUGUCAUCGGUAUGUUACUUGCCCGAGAUUCGAUCGUCGGUAUCUCAAUACCUAGUUCAAUCUCGUUACCGCAAGUCUCUUUACUCUUUCCGUAAUACAUCAUCCCACAACUAACUUAUUAGUUGCAUUGCUUGCAAGGCUUAUAGUGAUGUGUAUUACCGAGAGGGCCCAGAGAUACCUCUCCGACAAUCGGAGUGACAAAUCCUAAUCUCAAUCUAUGCCAACUCAACAAGUACCAUCGGAGACACCUGUAGAGCACCUUUAUAAUCACCCACUUACAUUGUGACAUUUGGUAGCACACAAAGUGUUCCUCCGGUGUUCGGGAGUUGCAUAAUCUCAUAGUCAUAGGAACAUGUAUAAGUCAUGAAAAAAGCAAUAGCAACAUACUAAACGAUCAAAUGCUAAGCUAACGAGAUGGGUCAAGUCAAUCACAUCAUUCUCUAAUGAUGUGAUCCCGUUAAUCAAAUGACAACUCAUGUCUAUGGUUAGGAAACUUAACCAUCUUUGAUUCAACGAGCUAGUCAAGUAGAGGCAUACUAGUGACACUCUAUUUGUCUAUGUAUUCACACAUGUACUAAGUUUCCGUUUAAUACAAUUCUAGCAUGAAUAAUAAACAUUUAUCAUGAUAUAAGGAAAUAUAAAUAACAACUUUAUUAUUGCCUCUAGGGCAUAUUUCCUUCAGUCUCCCACUUGCACUAGAGUCAAUAAUCUACUUCACAUCGCCAUGUGAUUUAACACCAAUAGUUCACAUCACCAUGUGAUUAAUAUCCAUAGUUCACAUCGCCAUGUGGCCAACACUCAAAGGUUUUAUUAGAGUCAGUAAUCUAGUUCACAUCGCCAUGUGAUUAACACCCAAAGAGUACUAAGGUGUGAUCAUGUUUUUCUUGUGAGAGAAGUUUAGUCAACGGGUCUGCCAAAUUCAGAUCCAUAUGUAUUUUGCAAAUUUCUAUGUCUACAAUGCUCUGCACGGAGCUACUCUAGCUAAUUGCUCCCACUUUCAAUAUGUAUCCAGAUUGAGACUUAGAGUCAUCUGGAUCAGUGUCAAAACUUGCAUACACGUAACCCUUUACGACGAACCUUUUGUCACCUCCAUAAUCGAGAAACAUAUCCUUAUUCCACUAAGGAUAAUUUUGACCGCUGUUCAGUGAUCUACUCCUAGAUCACUAUUGUACUCCCUUGCCAAACUCAGUGUAGGGUAUACAAUAGAUCUGGUACACAGCAUGGCAUACUUUAUAGAACCUAUGGCUGAGGCAUAGAGAAUGACUUUCAUUCUCUUUCUAUCUUCUGCCGUGGUCGGGCUUUGAGUCUUACUCAAUUUCACACCUUGUAACACAGGCAAGAACUCUUUCUUUGACUAUUCCAUUUUGAACUACUUCAAAAUCUUGUCAAGGUAUGUACUCAUUGAAAAAACUUAUCAAGCGUCUUGAUCUAUCUCUAUAGAUCUUGAUGCUCAAUAUGUAAGCAGCUUCACCGAGGUCUUUCUUUAAAAAACUCCUUUCAAAUACUCCUUUAUGCUUUCCAAAAAAUUCUACAUUAUUUCCAAUCAACAAUAUGUCAUUCACAUAUAUUUAUUAGAAAUGUUGUAGUGCUCCCACUCACUUUCUUGUAAAUACAGGCUUCACCGCAAGUUUGUAUAAAACUAUAUGCUUUGAUCAACUCACCAAGCGUAUAUUCCAACUCCGAGAUGCUUGCACCAGUCCAUAGAUGGAUCGCUGGAGCUUGCACAUUUUGUUAGCACCUUUAGGAUCGACAAAACAUUAUGGUUGCAUCAUAUACAACUCUUCUUUAAGAAAUCCAUUAAGGUAUGUAGUUUUGACAUCCAUUUGCCCGAUUUCAUAAAAUGUGGCAAUUUGCUAACAUGAUUCGGACAGACUUAAGCAUCGCUACGAGUGAGAAAAUCUCAUCAUAGUCAGCACCUUGAACUUUGUCAAAACCUUUUUCGACAAGUCUAGCUUUGUAGAUAGUAACACUACUAUCAGCGUCCGUCUUCCUCUUGAAGAUCCAUUUAUUUUCUAUGGCUUGCCGAUCAUCGGGCAAGUCAACCAAAGUCCACACUUUGUUCUCAUACAUGGAUCCCAUCUCAGAUUUCAUGGCCUCAAGCCAUUUCGCGGAAUCUGGGCUCAUCAUCGCUUCCUCAUAGUUCGUAGGUUCGUCAUGGUCAAUAACAUGACCUCCAGAACAAGAUUACCGUAUCACUCUGGUGCGGAUCUCACUCUGGUUGACCUACGAGGUUUGGUAGUAACUUGAUCUGAAGUUACAUGAUCAUCAUCAUUAGCUUCCUCACUAAUUAGUGUAGGAGUCACAGGAACAGAUUUCUGUGAUGAACUACUCUCCAAUAAGGGAGCAGGUACAAUUACCUCAUCAAGUUCUACUUUCCUCCCACUAACUUCUUUCGAGAGAAACUCCUUCUCUAGAAAGGAUCCAUUCUUAGCAACGAAUGUCUUGCCUUCGGAUCUGUGAUAGAAGGUGUACCCAACUGUCUCCUUUGGGUAUCCUAUGAAGACACAUUUCUCCGAUUUGGGUUUCAGCUUAUCAGGAUGAAACUUUUUCACAUAAGCAUCACAACCCCAAACUUUAAGAAACGACAACUUUGGUUUCUUGCCAAACCACAGUUCAUAUGGUGUCGUCUCAACGGAUUUAGAUGGUGCCCUAUUUAACGUGAAUGCAGUUGUCUCUAAUGCAUAACCCCAAAACGAUAGUGGUAAAUUGGUAAGAGACAUCAUAGAUUGCACCAUAUCUAAUAAAGUACGGUUACGAUGUUCGGACACACCAUUAUGCUGUGGUAUUCCAGGUGGUGUGAGUUGCAAAACUAUUCCGCAUUGUUUCAAAUGAAGACCAAACUCGUAACUCAAAUAUUCUCCUCCACGAUCAGAUCGUAGAAACUUUAUUUUCUUGUUACGAUGAUUUUCCACUUCACUCUGAAAUUAUAUGAACUUUUCAAAUGUUUCAGACUUAUGUUUCAUCAAGUAGAUAUACCCAUAUCUGCUAAAAUCAUUUGUGAAGGUCAGAAAAUAACGAUACCCGCCGCGAGCCUCAACACUCAUCGGAUCGCAUACAUCAGUAUGUAUUAUUUCCAAUAAGUCAGUUGCUCGCUCCAUUGCUCCGGAGAACGGAGUCUUAGCCAUCUUGCCCAUAAGGCAUGGUUUGCAAGCAUCAAGUGAUUCCAAAAUCCCAUCAGCAUGGAGUUUCUUCAUGCGCUUUACACCAAUAUGACCUAAACGGCAGUGCCACAAAUAAGUUGCACUAUCAUUAUUAACUUUGCAUCUUUUGGCUUCAAUAUUAUGAAUAUGUGUAUCACUACGAUCGAGAUCCAACAAACCAUUUUCAUUGGGUGUAUGACCAUAGAAGGUUUUAUUCAUGUAAACAAAACAACAAUUAUUCUCUAACUUAAAUGAAUAACCGUAUUGCAAUAAACAUGAUCAAAUCAUAUUCAUGCUCAAGGCAAACACCAAAUAACACUUAUUUAGGUUCAACACUAAUCCCGAAAGUAUAGGGCGUGUGCGAUGAUGAUCAUAUCAAUCUUGGAACUACUUCCAACACACAUCGUCACCUUGCCCUUAACUAGUUUCUGUUCAUUCUGCAACUCCCGUUUCGAGUUACUACUCUUAGCAACUGAACCAGUAUCAAAUGUCGAGGGGUUGCUAUAAACACUAGUAAAGUACACAUCAAUAACAUGUAUAUCCAAUAUACCUUUGUUCACUUUGCCAUCCUUCUUAUCCGCCAAGUAUCUAGGGCAGUUCCACUUCCAGUGACCAUUUCCUUUGCAGUAGAAGCACUCAGUUUCAGGCUUGGGUCUAGCUUUGGGCUUCUUCACGGGAGCAGCAACUUGCUUGCCGUUCUUUUUGAAGUUCCCCUUAUUCCCUUUGCCUUUUGUUGAAACUAGUGGUCUUGUCAACCAUCAACACUUGAUGCUUUUCUUGAUUUCUACCUUCGUUGAUUUCAGCAUCACGAAGAGCUUGGGAAUCAUUUCCGUUAUCCCUUGCAUAUUAUAGUUCAUCAUGAAGUUCUAGUAACUUGGUGAUAGUGACUAGAGAACUCUGUCAAUCACUAUCUUAUCUGUAAGAUUAACUCCCACUUGAUUCAAGUGAUUGUAGUACUCAGACAUUCUGAGCACAUGCUCACUAGCUGAGCUAUUCUCCUCCAUCUUGUAGGCAAAGUACUUGUCAAAGGUCUCAUACCUUUCAACAUGGGCAUGAGUCUGAAAUACUAAUUUCAACUCUUGGAACAUCUCAUAUGCUCCGUGGUGUUUAAAAAACAUCUUUGAAGCCCCGAUUCUAAGCCGUAAAGCAUGGUGCACUAAACUAUCAAGUAGUCAUCAUAUCGAGCUUGCCAAACGUUCAUAACGUUUGCAUCUGCUCCUGCAAUCGGUCUGUCACCUAGCGGUGCAUCAAGGACAUAAUUCUUCUAUGCAGCAAUGAGGAUAAUCCUCAGAUCACGGAUCCAAUCCGCAUCAUUGCUACUAACAUUUUUCUGUUGGGGAACGUAGUAAUUUCAAAAAAAAUCCUACGCACACGCAAGAUCAUGGUGAUGCAUAGAAACGAGAGGGGAGAGUGUGUCCACGUACCCUCGUAGACCGAAAGCAGAAGCGUUAGCACAACGCGAUUGAUGUAGUCGUACGUCUUCAUGAUCCGACCAAUCAAGUACCGAACGCACGGCACCUCCGAGUUCAGCACACGUUCAGCUCGAUGACGUCCCUCGAACUCCGAUCCAGCCGAGCUUUGAGGGAGAGUUCCGUCAGCACGACGGCGUGGUGACGAUGAUGAUGUUCUACCGACGCAGGGCUUCGCCUAAGCACCGCUACAAUAUUAUCGAGGUGGAUUAUGGUGGAGGGGGGCACCGCACACGGCUAAGAGAUCAAGAGAUCAAUUGUUGUGUCUAUGGGGUGCCCCCCUGCCCCCGUAUAUAAAGGAGCAAGGGAGGGAGAGGCGGCCGGCCAGGAGGAGGCGCGCCAGGAGGAGUCCUACUCCCACCGGGAGUAGGACUCCCUCCUUUCCAAGUUGGAGUAGGAGAAGGGGGAAGGAGGAGGGAGAGAGGAAGGAAAGGGGGCGCCCCCCUCCUUGUCCAAUUCGGACUAGAGGGGGAGGGGGCGCGACCUGCCCUGGCCGCCCCUCCUCUUCUCCACUAAGGCCCAUGUUGGCCCAUUAAACCCCCGGGGGAGUUUCGGUAACCCCCGGUACUCCGGUAAAAUCCUGAUUUCACCCGGAACACUUCCGAUAUCCAAAUAUAGGCUUCCAAUAUAUCAAUCUUUAUGUCUCGACAAUUUCGAGACUCCUAUCAUGUCCGUUAUCACAUCCGGGACUCCGAACUAUCUUCAGUACAUCAAAACACAUAAACUCAUAAUAUAACCGUCAUCAAACUUUAAGCGUGCGGACCCUACGGGUUCGAGAACUAUGUAGACAUGACCGAGACACGUCUCCGGUCAGUAACCAAUAGCGGAACUUGGAUGCUCAUAUUGGCUCCCACAUAUUCUACGAAGAUCUUUAUUGGUCAAACCGCAUGACAACAUACGUUGUUCCCUUUGUCAUCGGUAUGUUACUUGCCCGAGAUUCAAUCGUCGGUAUCUCAAUACCUAGUUCAAUCUCGUUACCGGCAAGUCUCUUUACUCGUUCUGUAAUACAUCAUCCCGCAACUAACUCAUUAGUUACAAUGCUUGCAAGGCUUAUAGUGAUGUGCAUUACCGAGUGGGCCCAGAGAUACCUCUCCGACAAUCGGAGUGACAAAUCCUAAUCUCGAAAUACGCCAACCCAACAAGUACCUUCGGAGACACCUGUAGAGCACCUUUAUAAUCACCCAGUUAUGUUGUGACGUUUGGUAGCACACAAAGUGUUCCUCCGGUAAACAGGAGUUGCAUAAUCUCAUAGUCAUAGGAACAUGUAUAAGUCAUGAAGAAAGCAAUAGCAGAAUACUAAACGAUCGUGUGCUAAGCUAACGGAAUGGGUCAAGUCAAUCACAUCAUUCUCCUAAUAAUGUGAUCCCGUUAAUCAAAUGACAACUCAUGUCAAUGGCUAGGAAACAUAACCAUCUUUGAUCAACGAGCUAGUCAAGUAGAGGCAUACUAGUGACACUUUGUUUGUCUAUGUAUUCACACAAGUAUUAUGUUUCCGGUUAAUACAAUUCAAGCAUGAAUAAUAAACAUUUAUCAUGAUAUAAGGAAAUAAAUAAUAACUUUAUUAUUGCCUCUAGGGCAUAUUUCCUUCACUUUCAACUUAGUUUUCUCUAGGAACAUAUCAAAAAUAAAACAGGAGAGCUAAACGCGAGCUAUUGAUCUACAACAUAGAUAUGCUAAUACUACCAGGACUAAGUUCAUGAUAAAUUAAAGUUCAAUUAAUCAUAUUACUUAAGAACUCCCACGUAGAUAGACAUCCCUCUAAUCAUCUAAGUGAUCACGUGAUCCAUAUCAACUAAACCAUGUCCGAUCAUCACGUGAGAUGGAGUAGUUUUCAAUGGUGAACAUCACUAUGUUGAUCAUAUCUUCUAUAUGAUUCACGCUCGACCUUUCGGUCUCCAGUGUUCUGAGGCCAUAUCUGCAUAUGCUAGGCUCGUCAAGUUUAACCCGAGUAUUCUGCAUGUGCAAAACUGGCUUGCACCCAUUGUAUGUGAACGUAGAGCUUAUUACACCCGAUCAUCACGUGGUGUCUUAGCACGAAGAACUGUCGCAACGGUGCAUACUCAGGGAGAACACUUAUACUUUGAAAUUUAGUGAGAGAUCAUCUUAUAAUGCUACCGUCGAUCUAAGCAAAAUAAGAUGCAUAAAAGAUAAACAUCACAUGCAAUCAAUAUAAGUGAUAUGAUAUGGACAUCAUCAUCUUGUGCCUUUGAUCUCCAUCUCCAAAGCACCGUCAUGAUCACCAUCGUUACCGGCGCGACACCUUGAUCUCCAUCGUAGCAUCGUUGUCGUCUCGCCAACUAUUGCUUCUACGACUAUCGCUGCCGCUUAGUGAUAAAGUAAAGCAAUUACAUGGCGAUUGCAUUUCAUACAAUAAAGCGACAACCAUAUGGCUCCUGCCAGUUGCCGAUAACUCUGUUACAAAACAUGAUCAUCUCAUACAAUAAAAUUUAGCAUCAUGUCUUGACCAUAUCACAUCACAACAUGCCCUGCAAAAACAAGUUAGACGUCCUCUACUUUGUUGUUGCAAGUUUUACGUGGCUGCUACGGGCUGAGCAAGAACCGUUCUUACCUACGCAUCAAAACCACAACGAUAUUUCGUCAAGUAUGUGAUGUUUUAACCUUCACAAGGACCGAGCGUAGCCACACUCGAUUCAACUAAAGUUGGAGAAACUGACACCCGCCAGCCACCUGUGUGCGAAGCACGUCGGUAGAACCAGUCUCGCGUAAGCGUACGCGUAAUGUCGGUUCGGGCCGCUUCAUCCAACAAUACCGCCGAAUCAAAGUAUGACAUGCUGGUAAGCAGUAUGACUUGUAUCGCCCACAACUAAUUUGUGUUCUACUCGUGCAUAUAACAUCUACGCAUAAACCUGGCUCGGAUGCCACUGUUGGGGAACGUAGUAAUUUCAAAAAAAAAUCCUACGCACACGCAAGAUCAUGGUGAUGCAUAGCAACGAGAGGGGAGAGUGUCGUCCAUGUACCCUCGUAGACCGAAAGCGGAAGCGUUAUAACAACGCGGUUGAUGUAGUCGUACGUCUUCAUGAUCCGACUGAUCCAAGUACCGAACACACGGCACCUCCGAGUUCAGCACACGUUCAGCUCGGUGACAUCCCUCGAACUCACGAUCCAGCAGAGCUCCGAGGGAGAGUUCCGUCAGCACGACGGCGUGAUGACGGUGAUGAUGAUGCUACCGACGCAGGGCUUCGCCUAAGCACCGCUACGAUAUGACCGAGGUGGAUUAUGGUGGAGGGGGGCACUGCACACAGCUAAAAGAUCAACUGAUCAACUUGUGUGUCUACGGGGUGGGGGGCGGCGCCCCCCUUUUUCCUUCCCCCUCUCUCCUCCUUCCUUCCCUCCUACUCCUACUCUUGGAAGGGUUGGAGUCCUACUCCCGGUGGGGGCGCGGCCUGCCCUGGCCGCCCCUCCUCUUCUCCACUAAGGCAGGCCCAUUACACUCCCCAGGGGGGUUCCGGUAACCCCCGGUACUCCGGUAUUUGUCCGAACUUACCCGGAACCCUUCCGAAGUCCAAACAUAGUCAUCCAAUAUAUUAAUCUUUUUGUCUCGAUCAUUUCGAGACUCCUCGUCAUGUCCGUGAUCAUAUCCGGGACUAUGAACUACCUUCGGUACAUCAAUACACAUAAACUCAUAAUACCGAUCGUCACCGAACGUUAAGCGUGCGGACCCUAUGGGUUCGAGAACUAUGUAGACAUGACCGAGACACGUCUCCGAUCAAUAACCAAUAGCGGAACCUAGAUGCUCAUAUUGGCUCCUACAUAUUCUACGAAGAUCUUUAUUGGUCAAACCGCAUAACAACAUACGUUGUUUCCUUUGUCAUCGGUAUGUUACUUGCCCGAGAUUCGAUCGUCGGUAUCUCAAUACCUAGUUCAAUCUCGUUACCGGCAAGUCUCUUUACUCGUUCCGUAAUACAUCAUCCUGCAACUAACAUAUUAGUUGCAUUGCUUGCAAGGCUUAUAGUGAUGUGUAUUACCGAGAGGGCCCAGAGAUACCUCUCCGACAAUUGGAGUGACAAAUCCUAAUCUCGAUCUAUGCCAACUCAACAAGUACCAUCGGAGACACCUGUAGAGCACCUUUAUAAUCACCAAGUUACGUUGUGACGUUUGGUAGCACACAAAGUGUUCCUCCGGUAUUCGGGAGUUGCAUAAUCUCAUAGUCAUAGGAACAUGUAUAAGUCAUGAAGAAAGCAAUAGCAAUAUACUAAACGAUCAAAUGCUAAGCUAACGGAAUGGGUCAAGUCAAUCACAUCAUUCUCUAAUGAUGUGAUCCCGUUAAUCAAAUGACAACUCAUGUCUAUGGUUAGGAAACUUAACCAUCUUUGAUUCAACGAGCUAGUCAAGUAGAGGCAUACUAGUGACACUCUGUUUGUCUAUGUAUUCACACAUGUACUAAGUUUCCGGUUAAUACAAUUCUAGCAUGAAUAAUAAACAUUUAUCAUGAUAUAAGGAAAUAUAAAUAACAACUUUAUUAUUGCCUCUAGGACAUAUUUCCUUCAUCGUCAUGAUCCCCAUCGUCACCGGCUCGACACCUUGAUCUCCAUCGUUGUGUCAUGGUCGUCUCGCCAACUAUUGCUUCUACAAUUAUCGCUGACGCAUAGUGAUAAAGUAAAGCAAUUAAAUGGCGUUUGCAUUUCAUACAAUAAAGCAACAGCCAUAAGGCUCCUGCCAGUUGCCGAUAACUUUUACAAAACAUGAUCAGCUCAUACAAUAACGUAUAUCACAUCAUGCCUUGACCAUAUCACAUCACAACAAGCCCUGCAAAAACAAGUUAGAUGUCCUCUACUUUGUUAUAUCAAGUUUUACGUGGCUGCUACGGGCUUCUAGUAAGAACCGUUCUUACCUACGCAUCAAAACCACAACGGUGUUUCAUCAAUUUUGUUGUUUUAACCUUCAACAAGGACCGGCUGUAGUCAAAUUCGAUUCAACUAAAGUUGGAGAAACAGACACCCGCUAGCCACCUUUAUGCAAAACUAGUUGCAUGUCUGUCGGUGGAACCGGUCUCAUGAACAUGGUCAUGUAAGGUUGGUCCGGGCCGCUUCAUCCAACAAUACCGCCGAAUCAAAAUAAGACGUUGGUGGUAAGUAGUACGACUAUCACUGCCCACAACUCUUUCUGUUCUACUCGUGCAUAUCAUCUACGCAUAGACCUGGCUCAGAUGCCACUGUUGGGAAACGUAGCAUGCAAUUUCAAAAAUAUUCCUACGUCCACGCAAGAUCUAUCUAGGAGAUGCAUAGUGAUACGUCUCCAACGUAUCUAUAAUUUUUUAUUGUUCCAUGCUAUUAUAUUAUCUGUUUUGGAUGUUUUAUAUGCAUUAAUAUGCUAUUUUAUAUGAUUUUUGGGACUAACCUAUUAACCUAGAGCCCAGUGCCAGCUUCUGUUUUUUCCUUGUUUUAGAGUUUCGCAGAAAAGGAAUACCAAACAGAGUCCAAAUGGAAUAAAACUUUCGCCAUGAUUUUUCUUGGACCAGAAGACACCCAGGAGACUUGGAGUACAAGUCAGGGAAGCUUCGAGGCGGUCACAAGGGUGGAGGGCGCCCCCCCCCCCCACCUUGUGGGCCCCUCGUAGCUCUGCUGACCUAAUUCUUCCUCCUAUAUAUACUCUUAUACCCCAAAAACAUCCAGGGGAGCCACCAAACCACUUUUCCACUGCCGCAACCUUCUGUACCCGUGAGAUCCCAUCUUGCGGCCUUUUCCGGCAUCCUGCCGGAGGGGGAAUCGAUCACGGAGGGCUUCUACAUCAACACCAUUGCCUCUCCGAUGAACCGUGAGUAGUUUAUUUCAGACCUACGGGUCCAUAACUAGUAGCUAGAUGGCUUCUUCUCUCUCUUUGAUUCUCAAUACAAAGUUCUCCUCGAUGUUCUUGGAGAUCUAUUCGAUGUAAUACUCUUUUGCAGUGUGUUUGCCGAGAUCCGAUGAAUUGUGGAUUUAUGAUCAAGUUUAUCUAUGAAUAUCAUUUGAAUCUUCUCUGAAUUUUAUAUGCAUGAUUUGAUAUCUUUGCAAGUCUCUUCGAACUAUCGAUUUGGUUUGGCCAACUAGAUUGGUUUUUCUUGCAAUGGGAGAAGUGCUUAGCUUUGGGUUCAAUCUUGUGGUGUCCUUUCCCAGUGACAGUAGGGGCAGCAAGGCACGUAUUGUAUUGUUGCCAUCGAGGAUAAAAAGAUGGGGUUUUCAUCAUAUUGCUCGAGUUAAUCCCGCUACAUUAUGUCAUCUUGCUUAAUGCAUUACUCUGUUCUUAUGAACUUAAUACUCUAGAUGCAGGCAGGAGUCGGUCGAUGUGUGGAGUAAUAGUAGUAGAUGCAGAAUCGUUUCGGUCUACUUGAUACGGACGUGAUUCCUAUAUUCAUGAUCAUUGCCUUAGAUAUCGUCAUAACUUUGCGAUUUUCUAUCAUUUGCUCGACAGUAAUUUGUUCACCCACCGUAAUAAUUUCUAUCUUGAGAGAAGCUUCUAGUGAAACCUAUGGCCCCCGGGUCUAUUUUAUAUCAUAUUAGUUUCCCGACAACUUGCCAAUUUCUGUCGCCGUUCCUUUAUUUUGCAAUCUUUACUUUCCGUUCCAUAAACCAAAAAUAUUACUUUACCGUUUAUCCAUCUCUAUCAGAUCUCACUUUGCGAACAACCGUGAAGGGAUUGACAACCCCAUUGUCGCGCUGGUUGCAAGUUGGUGUUUGUUUGUGCAGGUAUUUGGUGGCUUGUUGCGUAGUCUCCUACUGGAUUGAUACCUUGGUUCUCAAAACUGAGGGAAAUACUUACGGUCCUUUGCUGCAUCACCCUUUCCUCUUCAAGGGAAAAACCAACACAAGCUCAAGAGGUAGCACAUAGCAACGAGAGGGGGAGAGUGUGUCUACGUACCCUCGUAGACUGAAAGCGGAAGCGUUUAACAACGCGGUUGAUGUAGUCGAACUUCUUCUCGUUCCGACCGAUCAAGCACCGAACGUACGGCACCUCCGAGUUCUGCACACGUUCAGCUCGAUGACAUCCCUCGAACUGUUCAUACAGCAAAGUGUUGAGGGAGAGUUCCGUCAGCACGACGUCGUGGUGACGGUGAUGGUGAAGUGAUCCGCGCAGGGCUUCGCCUAAGCACUACGUGAAUAUGACCGGAGGCAUAAACUGUGGAGGGGGCCGCCGCACAUGGCUAACAAUGGUUGGUGUGUGUUCUAGCGGUGCCUCCCCCUCAUAUAUAUAGGUUGGAGGGGAGGAUAGGCAGCCAAGGGGGCGCCCCAAGUAGGAGGAAUCCUACUUGGGCACCUCCCAAUUCGGCCUCCCCCCUUUCCUAUUCCUAUUCGGAGUAGGAAGGGAAAAGGGGGAAGGGGGAAUCCUAUUCCCUUUUUCCUUUCCUCCUUCCCCUUUCCUUCUCCAAUUUGGCCAGCCCAUAUGGGGGGUGCACCAGCCCCUUUGUGGCUGGUGUGUUUCCGCUCUUGGCCCAUAAGGCCCAUAUCUUUUGCCGGGGGUGCCCGGAACCCCUUCCGGUGACCCGAUAAGUACCCGGUGCUUCCCGGAACACUUUCGUUGUCCGAAUACCAUUGUCCUAUAUAUCAAUCUUCACCUCUCGACCAUUUCGAGACUCCUCGUUAGUUUCGUGAUCUCAUCCGGGACUCCGAACAACAUCCGGUCACCAAAUCACAUAACUCAUAUAAUAACAAAUCGUCAUCGGGCGUUAAGCGUGCGGACCCUACGGGUUCGAGAACUAUGUAGACAUGACCAAGACACCUCUCCGGACAAUAACCAAUAGCGGAACCUGGAUGCUCAUAUUAGCUCCUACAUAUUCUACGAAGAUCUUUAUCGGUCGUACUGUAAUGACAACAUACGUUAUUCCCUUUGUCAUCGGUAUGUUACUUGCCCGAGAUUUGAUCGUCAGUAUCUUCAUACCUAGUUCAAUCUCGUUACCGGGAAGUCUCUUUACUUGUUCCGUAAUACAUCAUCCCGCAACUAACUCAUUAGUCACAUUGCUUGCAAGGCUUCUUAUGAUGUGCAUUAUCGAGAGGGCCCAGAGAUACCUCCCCGAUACUCGGAGUGACAAAUCCUAAUCUCGAUCUAUGCCAACCCAACAAACACCUUCGAAGAUACAUGUAGAGCAUCUUUAUAAUCACCCAGUUACAUUGUGACGUUUGAUAGCACACAAGGUAUUCCUCCGAUAUCCGGAAGUUGCAUAAUCUCAUAGUCAAAGGAAUAUGUAUAUGACAUGAAGAAAGCAAUAGCAAUAAAACUGAAUGAUCAAUAUGCUAAGCUAACGGAUGGGCCAUGUCCAUCACAUCAUUCAAAUGACAACACAUGUCUAUGGUUAGAAAACUUGACCAUCUUUGAUUAACGAGCUAGUCUAGUAGAGGCUUACUAGGGACACUGUGUUUUGUCUAUGUAUCCACACAUGUAUCAAGUUUUCGGUUAAUACAAUUCUAGCAUGAAUAAUAAACAUUUAUCAUGAUAUAAGGAAAUAUAAAAUAACAACUUUAUUAUUGCCUUUAGGGCAUAUUUCCUUCACUGGGAUGACAGAACAACCUGCCGGAGGGCUCGCCGAAGGGCUACGCACUCAACGGUAUCCACACGGCCCAAGGCGCUCCAGAUAUCCAGUAUCCACGGGUCGUCAUGCAAGCCCUCAGACCGCGCCCAGUCACAGAGCAUACAUUUGUCGUCGUGCAGGAGCCCAUGCCUAGCCAGGUAUGCAGUCGUCCAGCAACGAUCCUAAUUGGCAAGCCAAGCGAAGAAAUGGAUUUGUAGGGGCACCUAGGUCCGCCAGGUGAGCCGCCAGUGCGGCAUGGCAUGGAUCCAGUGAACAGGGUCUGGUAGCAAGAUCGUGCAACGUAGGUCACGUUGGAAGUCUAGCACCAUCUCAAAGAGUCUGGCUCGGGUGACAGAACAACCUGACGAAGGGCUCGCCAGAGAGCUACGCACUCAACGGUAUCCGUAGGGAGCCCCAGAUAUCCAGUAUCCACGCGUGAUCAUGCAAGCCCUCUGCAAUAGACCGCGCCCACUGACGGCGCCGCGAUACGAGGGCAAGCACGAACGUGGUGAUCUGAGAGGUAGACCAUCCCGCGAGCCAUUGAUCAAUCUAGAAGAGACAAGUGUUGUUGUCGCCGAGGUCAAGAUGUGGAAGCUUGAAGAAAGCUCGCACCUCGGGGUCACACGAAAUGUGCAGGUGAUAGCCAUCUAGUUACCAUGGUGAUCCCGGUGCGCUGCGGGUCAGAUGCCUAAGCCACCAAGCUCAAGGGGGCGACAUACUUUGCGCCACUAACAAGGCAGCCCCCAGCUGAAGCCUAGCUCGCUCGUGCCAUGCCAUAGGAAAUUCCGCAUAAUGAGUUUGACCUUCUUGAGAAUGGGGGACGAAGAGCCAUCGCCAUCAACAGGUGUCUGGGCAUGGCCGCAAGCAUGUGACGGACAAGCGCCAACCUCUCGCCACGCGAUAACGAGGCCUUCGACGCUAGGCGCCGGCGCACCGGCCCAACAGUUGGGCCGAUCCAGCCCUGGCCGCCCGACGCAGGGAUUAGACCGUCAGAUCUGUCCCUUGCUUUGUCCUCCUCCUGAGUCAAUUUUCCAAAAAAAAUUACAACGGCCCGAGCGCCGGUGACACCACGCCAUAUCCUCGCGAGAAAACAGCCGAGCUUGAAGCACCACCGCGGCGUUCCUCGUCGCCGGUGGACGUCCUCGCCGGCCGUCCACGCUUGCCCCAGAUCCGCGCUCGCCAUGGAUGCAGCUCCGCCGCCCGCGCUCAUCAGAGAUGUGCGCUCACCAUGGAUGCAGCUCCGCCGCCCAGCGCUUGCCGUGGAUGCAGCUUCGCCGCCCACGCUUGCCAUGGAUGGAUCCCGCCCCUCGCCGCCCGCGCACGCCAUGGAUGCAGCUCCGCCUCGUUGGCGAUUGACUGGUUCCAGCAAAUAGAAUUGCCCGUUGUAGCAUUUUUCGUUGUUUGUCGUAGCAAAAUGGAGACACGGUUGCAGCAAAAAAGAAACGUCACCGUUUUCGCUGGUUGUAGCUCGCCGUUGCAGGUAGGAACAUUUUCAUCAAUGAACGGAUGUAACAAAACCCAUUGCCGGACGUAGCAAAUACCUACGGCGGUUGCAACAAAAAAGUCGUCGUCGCCGUCGCGGGUCGCAACUCGGCCGUGCUGGAUGUAGCAAAACAUUAUGCCGGUUGUAGCAAAAAGCGAUGCUAGUUGUAGCAAAACCACGACGCCGGCUGUGUGUUGUAGCAAAACGUGACCCUAGCUGUAGCAAAAUGAUAUGCCGGUUGUAGCAAAAUCCAUGCCAGUUGAAGCAUGUAGCAAAACUGCAGCAUUUUGUCAUCUUCUUCCACCUCCAGCCGUCGCUGGUUGAAGCUUUUUCAAACUACAGUUGAAGCUUUCGUAUGAACGAUUGUAGCUUUUUUCUGUGCGUGGUAUCCGGUUGAAGCUUGAUAUACUGCGGGUUGAAGCUUUUGAAUCAAACGGUUGUAGCUUUUUCCACUGCCGGUUGUAGCAUGCGCCAAUGACCAUAGUAGCACGGCCAGGGAGUUGGGGACCGCACGCGCCAAUGGCCAUAGUAGCACGGCCAGGGAGUUGGGGACCUAGGAGUGCGCCAUGAGGACGAGGGGGUAGCUGGCGCAUGGACAUGGCGUGGAGGGACGCUGUGAGGAAGAAGAAUAGAGGCUGGCCAUGGUGAGGAGGAUGUGCAGGCGGAGGCGCGCGAGCUCGAAGAAAAAAAAUACGAGAGAAGGGGAUAAGAGCAAGCGGCCUUGUAACACCCCGCACGUAACUUUCCAUAUUUGUAACUCCAACUCUUGCCAUUUUCGGCUAUGUGUUAUGAUAUUCCCUCCGUGGUCGGGUUUUGGUUUUUGUUUUGCAUUUUGUUCAUGUCAUGCAUUUCAUAUCAUGUCAUCAUGUGCAUUGCAUUUGCAUACGUGUUCGUCUCUUGCAUCCGAACAUUUUCCCCGUUGUCCGUUUUGCAAUCCGGCGCUCCUAUCUCCUCCGGUGCACCCUCUUGUUUUUCUUUCGUGUGCGGGUGUCAAACAUUCUCGGAAUGGACCAAGGCUUGUCAUGUGGCCUUAGUAUACCACCCGGAGACCACCGGUCAAGUUUCAUUUCAUUUGGAGGUCGUUUGGUACUCCAACGGUUAACCGGGCAUCCGCAAUGUCCGUUUGUGUGUUGCAGCAAAACCCCCUCUCUAAACAGCCCAAAACCCACCAAACUCCCUUCCAUGUUGUAGGUCGUUCGAUCACGAUCGUGUGGGCGAAAACUGCACCUCAUUUGGAGCCUCCUAGCUCCCUCUACCUAUUUAUAUGUGAGACCCCCGUAUUUUUCGCGCAGUCCAAACCCUAGUUCGUUCCCCUCGCGCCGCCGGACGUGUCCGCCUCCGGCCGGACGCGUCCACUCCCGCCGCCGCCACGUGCCACCGCCGCNNNNNNNNNNNNNNNNNNNNNNNNNNNNNNNNNNNNNNNNNNNNNNNNNNNNNNNNNNNNNNNNNNNNNNNNNNNNNNNNNNNNNNNNNNNNNNNNNNNNNNNNNNNNNNNNNNNNNNNNNNNNNNNNNNNNNNNNNNNNNNNNNNNNNNNNNNNNNNNNNNNNNNNNNNNNNNNNNNNNNNNNNNNNNNNNNNNNNNNNNNNNNNNNNNNNNNNNNNNNNNNNNNNNNNNNNNNNNNNNNNNNNNNNNNNNNNNNNNNNNNNNNNNNNNNNNNNNNNNNNNNNNNNNNNNNNNNNNNNNNNNNNNNNNNNNNNNNNNNNNNNNNNNNNNNNNNNNNNNNNNNNNNNNNNNNNNNNNNNNNNNNNNNNNNNNNNNNNNNNNNNNNNNNNNNNNNNNNNNNNNNNNNNNNNNNNNNNNNNNNNNNNNNNNNNNNNNNNNNNNNNNNNNNNNNNNNNNNNNNNNNNNNNNNNNNNNNNNNNNNNNNNNNNNNNNNNNNNGGCCUCCCUCUCCUCCUCCGGCGCCGACGCCCGCGACCUCCCUCUCCUCCGGCCUCCUCCUCCGGCGCCCUCUCCGGCCGAGCUCGAGCUCGAGCCCGAGCCGACGAGCUCCCUGAGAUCCCGAUCCAGAACGCUGUAGCAGGUUGACUUUCCCGUGCCCGAAAUUUUCCCAAGUCUUACAAUUUUGACAGCAAGUGCCUCUGUUCAACAGUGCAUAACUCCUUGCAUGUAGCUCCGUUUCGCGCGUGUAAUAUGUCAAAUUGUUCGUCUCAUGAUGCUCUUCAUUUUGUUCAAUUGCACCAUGUUCAUUAUAGGUCAUCUUGAUGCCCAAAUCUCUAUUGCAAGAGGGCUAGUUGCUGUUAUCUGCUGGUUCUUAACAGAACUUGGAGAUUUGUCAUUUUUGUAUCAUUUAAUCUGUGCAUCUUAUGGGCAUGAGCUCUACAUGUGUUUUGUUGUAUGCCAUGCCAUCUUUCCAAGGGUGUAUGCCAUGUAUUUUUGUGAUCUCUGUGGUGACUAGCACAAGCAUGCAAAGUAGGCUCCGUAAUGUUUCUGAUUUCAGGGACUUGGUGAUUUCUCCAAGUCCUUGUCGGCUGUUAUUUUGUUGCCAUGUAAACUUGAUGCUACAGAGAGAUCCAUGCAUAUUUUGGAGAUAUUCAGUAAGGAUGUUUUGUAGCUAUAGUUGUAAUUGAUCCAUUCUUGCCCUUGUUUACAAUUAUGGAGUACCAUAGCAUGACUCAAUCUUGCUCUACUUUUGCUAUAAAAUAUUUCUGACAGAUUCUUAACAUGAUAUUCAUUUUUGCCAAGCUUGUUGUAGUUGAUCCAUACAUGCUAUGCUUUUGCUCUUGCCAUGGAUAGCUUCACAAACAUGCCAUCUUGCUGUAGGUAUACUUGUUUUGUCAUGGAUUGCUUUGUGGUGAGUGCAUCAAGCUCACAAACAUGCCUUCAUAUUAUUGUUUCUACCAUGCUCUGUUUUCUGCUAAGUCUGAAACCUGAUAACAAAACUUGCUAUGUUUACAUGCUUGCCAUCAUAUCUUCUGCUCCUUUUUGGCUUAUGGUCAGUAAGGGACUUUUGUCAUAUGCAUUUAGUAGAAUACUGACAUGCCUUGUUUUGCUAUGUUAAGUUCCUGUAGCAUGUUGUUUCGUGCUCUGAACAUUGCUACCUGAUGCUGUUUUCUGCCAAGUCCAGUAAUUUCACUAAGUCUGGAACCUGUUAUCUUUUGCACUUUUGCCAUGCUUGUUUGAGCUUGAUAUGUUGUGAACUAGCCGUAGCUCAGUGUUCAUCUUUUGUCAAGCAUCUCCUGUAGAUUACUGCCAUAUGCUUUGUUGCUAUGUUGGAGUGUUGUAGCAUUGUUACUUGUAGCAUUUUAAGUGCUAUCAUGCUGUUAAUCUCAGAUUCGUGUCAUUCUUGUUUUGCUUGCCAUUUGCAAACCGUGCAUCCGUUUCCGGUGAUCUUUAUAUCGAUUUCGACCGAAAUCAUCUCAUCUUUCCAGUGGCAUGCUUGGUUUGCCAAGUUAAUGCCUUGUUCAUCAUUUUCCUUCCGGAGCAUGCAUACGCAUCGCAUAUCAUAUCUUGCAUAUCAUACAUGUUUUGCAUCGUGUUGCUUGUGCAUUUCUCGUGAUUGAUUGUGGUUCCGUUUGUUUGUGUUCUUGUCUUGGGUAGAGCCGGGAGACGAGUUCGUGAACGAGGAACCUGUUGAGUACGCUUACGAGGAUCAAGCUUUCGACAACUCUGAGAACCUUGCAGGCAAGAUGACCACCCCUCGAAAUCACUUCUAUCUUUGCUUUGCUAGUUGUUCGCUCUAUUGCCAUGCUACGCUACCUAUCACUUGCUAUAUCAUGUCUCCCAUUUUGCCAUGUCAGCCUCUAACCAUCCUUUCCUAGCAAACCGUUGUUUGGCUAAGUUACCGCUUUUGCUCAGCCCUUCUUAUAGCGUUGCUAGUUGCAGGUGAAGUUGAAGUUGGUUCCAUGUUGGAACAUGGAUAUGUUGGGAUAUCACAAUAUCUCUUAUUUAAUUAAUGCAUAUAUAUAUUUGGUAAAGGGUGGAAGGCUCGGCCUUAUGCCUGGUGUUUUGUUCCACUCUUGCCGCCCUAGUUUCUGUCUUACCGGUAUUAUGUUCCUUGAGUUUGCGUUCCUUACACUGUUGGGUGAUUUAUGGGGCCCCCUUGACAGUUCGCCUUGAAUAAAACUCCUCCAGCAAGGCCCAACCUUGGUUUUACCAUUUGCUACCUAAGCCUUUCCCCCGGGUUUUCGCGAGCCCAAGGGUCAUCUUAUUUUAACCCCCCCGGGCCAGUGCUCCUUCGAGUGUUGGUCCGAACUGAGUAGACUGCGGGGCCCCCUCCUGGAAACUCGAGGUUUGGUUUUACUCGUAGGAUGUCUCAUCCGGUGUGCCCUGAGAACGAGAUAUGUGCAGCUCCUAUCGGGAUUUGUCGGCGCAUCGGGCGGCUUUGCUGGUCUUGUUUUACCAUUGUCGAAAUGUCUUGUAAACCGGGAUUCCGAGACUGAUCGGGUCUUUCCGGGAGAAGGUUUAUCCUUCGUUGACCGUGAGAGCUUAUGAUGGGCUAAGUUGGGACACCCCUGCAGGGUAUUAUCUUUCGAAAGCCGUGCCCGCGGUUAUGAGGCAGAUGGGAAUUUGUUAAUGUCCGGUUGUAGAGAACUUGUCACUUGACCCAGUUAAAAUACAUCAACUGCGUGUGUAGCCGUGAUGGUCUCUUCUCGGCGGAGUCCGGGAAGUGAACACGGUCUGAGUUAUGUAUGACGUAAGUAGGAGUUCAGGAUCACUUCUUGGUCAUUGCUAGAUGACGACCGUUCCGUUGCUUCUCUUCCCGCUCUCUUUUGCGUAUGUUAGCCACCAUAUAUGCUUAUUGCCGCUGCAGCUCCACCUCAUUACACCAUGCUUUUCCUACAAGCUUAAAUAGUCUUGAUCUCGCGGGUGUGAGAUUGCUGAGUCCCCGUGACUCACAGAUUCUACCAAAACAGUUGAAGGUGCCGACGAUGCCAGUGCAGAUGAUGGGGUCGAUCUCAAGUGGGAGUUCGAUGAGGAACGUGGUCGUUACUAUGUGUCUUUUCCUGAUGAUCAGUAGUGGAGCCCAGUUGGGACGGUCGGGGAUCUAGCAUUUGGGGUUGUUUUAUUUUCAUCUGGAUUUUGACCGUAGUCGGUCUAUAUGUUUGUAUUUUGGAUGAUGUAUGAAUUAUAUUUAUGUAUUGUGUGAAGUGGCGAUUGUAAGCCAACUCUUUAUCCCAUUCUUGUUCAUUACAUGGGAUUGUGUGAAGAUGACCCUUCUUGCGACAAAACCACUAUGCGGUUAUGCCUCUAAGUCGUGCCUCGACACGUGGGAGAUAUAGCCGCAUCGUGGGCGUUACAGGCCUGGAAGAGAAGAAGGGAUAACGCAGAGGAAUAGUCAACUCGGGUCCACCAUGCCACGUGGUUGCUCGCGAGUGGGUCGCGCAUGCGCACGUGGAUUGGACCGGCCGAAGCUUCCGCCGGUCCGCCGGUGUGAAACGUUUCCCUUUCAGGUUGGAAGUUUCCUUGCUAUCCUCUACACCAACGGCAUGAUCACCGUUGCAGAAACCUUCCUGGCCGACAGGGGAAUGCCUAGGUAGGUGAUGGGAAAGUGUGCAAUGAGGCAUGCCAGCGUGUUCUCGGUCAGCUAGCCUAGGCCGACGAGCAUUGGACAAGCGUAGCGGAGCACUUAUGAAAGUUGGUGUGCACAUCGGACACAGAUCCGAAGACGUGGUGAAGGAGGGGCAAUGGCGGCGGCUCACCUUCGACUCGCUCUAGUCUUUAUUAUCGUUUAUAGGUGGUCUACGCUCAUGAAUGUAAUUUUGUUAUUUAUAUGUUCUUUAUACUGCCAUGGCCUGAUGAAUAGAUCAAAAGUUCUUCGGGGAAAAGAUAAAGAGCACAUAUGUGCUUAUGCUCAGUCAUGUAAAAAGAAGUGCUCGGGCUCAUAAUUGCAUCUUCCGAUAUUCACGGUUACUACAGCCCGCGGGAAUGCACGCCAGGGCAGCGCAAUGGCCUGCGCAGUGUUGCGAGAGCACCGAGCUCCUGCGCGUGGAGAGCAAGGGCCGAUCCCGAUAUGGACAAACUUGCUCACGCGUUGGGCUUGCCCAAGGCAGAUCUGGCGGGGUGGCUGGCCGGCGACCUCCUGAGCGCACGGCCUGAGGACAAGAUGUGUAGCGACGCUCGUGCGUCCUGGAAGUGGUAUGCCUAAAGGGCUGGCUGGGUCACGGGUUUGGGCCGUGAGGCUGUCGGCGAAAGCCGCACUCUGGGAUUCCGGAUCAGACGGUGACAGCGUCAUUAACCCUGCUCGGCAUCAUGUUUCCUCUUAGGGACAUCGUCUUGGAGCUAGACUCGGUCAGAGAGACUCGAUGAUCGUGGAUGUGGUUGGCGGCGGCAUGUGUGAAAUCUCCAGGAGAGCAGCAGAAGCACCCUUCACAUGCAAGGUGCGUCAGGCGAGUUAUGUCUUCCCACCUCACGGGAUUGAAGCAGCAUAUGUUUGCUCUUUCAGACAUAGUGUUCCUCUUCGAUGUCUUUGAGAUCCGUGAAUAUACUUGUGGGAGCCUGGAUUGAUACGACAGUUCUUAGUAUGCACUCUGAUAGCAACGAAGCCACACAAGUGUCCGGCCAUGUCUUCCGGAUUGAAGCGGCCUGUGUUUGCUCUUUCAGACAUAGUGUCCCUCUUCGAUGUCGUCGAGAUCCGUGGAUAUACUUGUGGGAGCCUGGUUUGAUACGACGGUUCUUAGUAUGUACUCUGGUAGCAACAAAGGCGAUGUUCUUAGUAUGCACUCUGGUAGCAACGAAGGCGCUCGAGUGUCCGGCCGGACAGGUUGCGGGGUGUUGGCCUUUCUGGCGUGUUUGUGUUGCUUUAGGCCUAGUCUUGCUAGGCAUUGUUAUAGGUUUUUGCCUGGUUUUCCUCAAUAAACCGUGCAACCCCUUUUUUUUCUUUUUUUUAGCACUCGUCUUAUGCGGUGCGUUCUGCCUUUGAGGGUGUGCCAUGCCAACAUUCGGGAAAAAAACAACACCACAAACUCUUGUAAGCACAACUUCAACAUUGAUUCUCUCAAAACUUUUACUAUGGGAGCUUCUUCAGCACGUACUAGCUAUCUCAAGUUGAUCAAACAAAUCAAUUGGUACAAUUUUUUCUUGGCCAAAGUAUUUUUAGAUACUGGAUGGUGAGUGUUGACAGGAAGUUUUUGGUGCGGCAUAUUCAUCCGAGUACAUUACAUGAACAUUUACAGUGCUAUUCCUCAAACUGGUAAUUCAUCAAAGUACCCCAAACUCCGGUAAUUUGAACUUCAACUUUGAUAUGAUGACAUUAUUGGUCACGUACCCCUUACCUAUAUUGGCCCUGUUUGGAUCCCUAAGUUAGGUGAGUUCUAGUCAGUUGGGGCUCAAAUAACCCAAAAGUAUCCAAACAUGAUGGGUUAGUUUGGGUUAGUUGGAUCUAACCCAUCUUAAAAUAUUAGCCCACACUAGAGGUUAGUUCUCCUGGGCCCACUAGAAAAAUUAGUAAAAAAAGCUUACCCCUCCCAUCCAAAAAGGUACAAAGUAGUCAAAUGAUUGAGAAAGAAUAUUUAUUGUCAAUCUAACCCUACCAUCCAAACAGCUCUUUGGUUAGAGUUAGUUUAGGGUUAGUUCAGGGUUAGAAUUUAACUCUAACCUCUAACUCGUAGAAUAUCCAAACAGGGCCAUUGUUCGAGGGCAAACCUUGGUUGAUAGAUACCAUUGAUUGGGAGAACCACAAGUUUUGGAGCUAAGUACUCAUCCAAGAUACUGUGGGGUUAUGGGUGCUAGUAGUGUACUUAUAUCUCUAUUUGACCGUGGGGCUACGGGCAACUUGAACCUACCUUGGUUUGACAACGGAAACUGAGAGUUUUCUUUCUUUUUUUGCAAGAAAAUUGAGUUAUCUUUCUGAGUUUACUGUGCUCAAUUCAUACCCAUUUACACAACAAAUCAAUGUGAAAAUUGAAAACUAGCAAUAGUAACAAAGAAUUCAAAUGAUCCAUUAACCGCUCACAAAAAAAUCAGAUACAACUAUGGUAUCACGAAGCAAAACCUAAGUACAUGGGCUGGGACUCAAAACGAUGUUAUCACAAAGCCUAUGAGCUCGUGUUGUGGCCAUCAGAUGGCCAUUUUGAGUGGUGAUGGGCAGGCCAAAUGAUUGCCAAUCAAAAAGUGUGAAUUUUAUUAAAAAAAAUCUCACAAACUGACAAGCACAGCAUGAAUCAAAAUCAACCUUCACAAUGGAAACAAGAUUCUCACAGCAUUUAGGUAGAACAGCUCAUUGUGCAUAACGAAAUUAUAGCUAAACAGAACCAAAUACUAGAUAUAUAACUGGUUCAAAACAAGGGAGACAGCUAGAUGGACAUGCCACCAGAUGGCCCGUACUGAAUUCUUUCAAAGUAGAAAGCGGCAUAACUCAUUUAAGAGGAAUGAACCGGGAGGAGUGUGUGGCACCGAUACCGGGCCUACCGUGCUUCACUGGCUUGUAGGAGAUAGAGAACUCUGCAAGGUAAUGGCCAAUCAUCUCAGGCUUAAUCUCAACCUGGUUGAAGGUCUUGCCAUUGUAGACACCGAUAAGGCUGCCAAUCAUCUCAGGGACAAUGAUCAUGUUACGGAGAUGUGUCCUCACUGGCUCAGGCUUCUCACCAGCAGGAGCGUCCUUUUUCUGUUCAAGACCAACAAAACAGAUUGUCAGUUAACUACAUGUUGGCAAAAUAAAAAGCUCUAGCUUAAGCUAGUUUUCCCUCAACUAAUUCUUUCAUCCCAACUCCCCCUCCUUAACUAAUUCUUUCAUCCAACCUCCCCCUCCGUUUUUGCUUUUGCUGUUUCUACCGGUUUUUGUUAAAACCAACACUACUUAAAAAAACAUCUAUUUAUCAAAUAAGAUCAUGUUUCCUGGUAAGCCAAUAAGUAUCUCUUACAAAAUAUGUAAGGUUCCAUCUUAUGUUUACUUCGAUUUGACAACCCCAACUCUUCCAUUUAGUCUUGGCUGCUUUUUGGUCAGCUUCUAAUUUAUGAAAUAAAAUCAUGUUUCAUUUAGUAACUGAAUAACUGCUGAUCCAAUCGGAAGCUAAAAUACAUUUUCAGUGUGCAAUUGCAUUAAGAAAACAAAAGGUGCCCCUCUGCAACGCACAGGCAAUUAUAUAGUAUAGAAUAGAAAUGCAGCUAUAAUACAGUGAGAUUUGCAACAUUACAGUGGAAAGAAUGAGAAAAGAGCAUAUUCUCCUUUUUUUAUGUUAGCAGCUCAGAAUCAUGUUAUUUAAGUAUAAUAGCCGGCAUUGCUAGUUAUGAAUGCACUACUGAAGUUCAUAUGGUAGAACAAAAGUAGUCGGCUCACAUAGUCUGAACUAAUUUCAAACUCAGAUUAUGUGAAGAUGGAAAGAUCAAAUGCAUAGCACCAUAAACGCUUACACAACAACAUACAGCAUAGUGAGGAAACCUGACCUUGCGACAGAAAAACAACACAUUCUAUCUUUAGUCUUACAAAGAUCUGAGUUCGUGGCAACCCGUUCACCAAGUUGAUAGAAGUUGACACAUUUCUCAAACAUUCUACGGAGAUCAGAGUUUAUAGUUUUAGAGAAACUCGGGACCUAUGAUGGCACAAGUGUUUAAACUUGCAACCAAAACAAAAAAUAUUGAUAGCAAUGCACGAGCAUGUAGCCAAUAGAUCUUAAAGAUUGUUGGAGGAGACAUAAGAGGCACCUGAAUUAACAGCAUGUGCUCGAGUAACAGAAUGUCUAUUUCCCAGUACCAAUCAGCACAUGACGCUAAGAUUAACCUUUUAAUAAGAGAAGACAAUGGUAACAUAAACAUUUAUUGUGACAGAAACCAAACAACUAACUUAAAAUCCCUGAGUCCCGCAGUAGUGAGAAGUAGACAGAUCCAGGCAUCAUACCGUAUAAGGUAGUAGACUAGUACUCCCUCCGUUCCUAAAUACUUGUCUUUCUAGGCAUUUCAAAUGACUAUCACAUACGGAUGUAUGUAGACAUAUUUUAAAGUGUAGAUCCAUUCAUUUUACUCCGUAUGUAGUCACUUGUUGAAAUGCCUAGAAAGACAAGUAUUUAGGAACGGAGGGAGUAGUAACUUGAGUUAUAUCAGUCAGAAUGUUCAUAAAACGGAAACAAAGAAAAAGGACUGGGCAACUCACCGCCUUGCGCAGCUUCUUGACGAGCGCCAUGGGCUUCCUCUUGAGACCCCUCUUGAACCUGCCAGAGCACACAGCGAUUCAUCCACAUCAGACGAAGGACAACAAACAACGAAACUCGAACGCGCGAGAUGCAUAGACAACAGGUACCUUCUGCGGGCGCGAGCGGGGAACAUCUGGACAAGGUCGUCGGUGGACAUGUCGAGGAGGGCAUCGAGAUCCACGCCGCGAUAGCUGAACUUGCGGAACGUCCUCUUCUUCGGCUGCGCGCCCGCGGCCACCUCCGUGUCAACGUCGACGUCCGCCUGAGGACACGAAACAUCGAUCCGGCGUUACGAGGGCGACAUGGACGGGUUACGAGAUGAUGCAGGGUUGAUGCAGGGUUUCGAACUCACCAUGGUCGGGUUGGCUUCGAGCGGGUACGGAGCGGCGGCGGCGAGGAAUGGGAAGCUGCGGCUUCUAGGGUUCUGAAGAAUGGUUUGUGAGAGUGGGAGCUUAUAUAUAUAGCUGGGCGUGGUGAUUCAUUUGGGCUGGGCUGGUAAAUGUUUGGGCGAUGCGUGAACCCCCCGCUUGCAGCAGAUAGACUCCAUGGGCCGGCAGCCAAUCAGGCGGUGCGAUUUGACCUGUUAGCCAUUCUCCAGACACCCCUCAAAAAAAAACAUUCUCCAGAUCUUUUAUGCUCGUCCUCGCCACCAAGAAACUCUAAUCCUCCUUUUUUUCUCAAAAAAGAAAAAAAUAGAUGCUUUUUUGCGGGAAAAAAUGGAUUUUAUUCCUCGGUAAUGAAAUUGCAGUCUGCUAAUACAAUUUGAGCUACUUGUGUGGCAGUCGGCGCAACAAACAAUCAAUGCUACCACCAGAACGACCAACAUUAGCUAGACUAUGAGUAACUUUUUUUUUAGAAUAACUCUAUUUUGAUGACGCUCAAUUUUUAAUGAAAUAAACCGGCCAUGGGAAUUGGUUGUAAUAUAUUUCUAUGGAAUCUGAUUGCAUGAACAUGAAUAUUUUAAGCAAUGAUAUAUUGCAUAUGUUUGGUCACAUCAUAGGUGCACUAAGUUAUCGGUAUGAAGUUCGGAAAAAAAAUAGAAGCAUGCGGAAAGAAAAUCUUUAUUAUUAAAGGGGAGUUGAUAGUGUGGCCUCCACUACGAUUAAAACCUUCUCACCUUUUUUCUAUCCCACCACUUUAUCUAUGUUAGAUUGUAUAAUACAUAGCAUCUGUACAUGACUUGUAUUCUGUAUUGUACACCUUGGUGUACCUCUUAGACUGUAUAAUAUGUAGCAUCUGUACAUGACUUGUAUUCUGUAUUAUACACCCUGGUGUACCUCUUUUAUAUAUGAGAUAGCCACACUCGUGUUAGGGUGUCGAGCAGUUUCCCAAACCCUAAGUUUUGCAUGGUAUCAGAGCGACGGAGAGGUGGAACGGAAAAGUGAUGCCAGAGUGGUGUGAGCAGACGGACGUGAUGAAAAUUGGAACACAUUCUCGUCAAACACCACAUCACACGAGAUGUGGACAAGGUUAGAUGAAACAUGAAGGCACUUGUACCCCUUGUGAACAGAACUAUAACCGAGGAAGACACAUUUUUUGGAUCGAAACUCGAGCUUGCGCUUAUUAUAGGGGCGAAGGUGAGGCCAACACGCACACCCAAACACUUUGAGGAACGUACAAUUUGGAGUUUCAUUAAGUAAGAGUUCAAGUGGUGUUUUCAUCCCAAGGAGUCGUGUAGGAAGCCUAUUAAUAAGAAAAUAGGUGGUGGAGACAGCAUCACUCCAAAAAUGAAAAGGAACUGAUGCAUGAGCAAGCAAAGCACGGCCAGUUUCAACAAUACAAUGAUGCUUACGUUCAGCAGUGCCAUUCUGCUGAUGCAUAUGAGGACACGACACACAAUACGAAAUCCCAAACUUGUUGAAGAAAGCAUUGAGGUUGUGAUACUCCCCCCCCCCAUCGGAUUGGACAUGUAUGAUUUUAUGCUGAAGAAGACGCUCAAAAUGGGCUUGAAAUUGCAGAAAAAUUUCAAACACAUCAGAUUUACGCUCAAUAAGAUAAAGCCAAGUGAAGCGACUGUAGUUUCGAAGGAAUCACAAGACGGUGCGACAUUGGAGAGUGCCCAUUUCGAGCUUCAACAUGAUAUGUGCUUGGUAGUCGUCCACUUCUACACGGCGACGCCCUCUCUUUCCAAUGGUGAUGAAGAUCACGAUCCGUGGACGGAUCUCUCCCAAGGGGGGGAGAUGAUGCGGAGCAUCCCUCGACCAUCCCCAUGGACGUCACACCACCACCGCAAGCACGGAGAGGACCUAGCACAAGGGCAUGUGCACGUGCCAUCGAAACCGAGGUUGACUCCUUCCUCUUCGAACUCCAUUCGAAUUCACAUGAGAAUUUGGUUCUACCUCAAACGGAAUUGUUGUGCAUUCUUAGGUACCAAGAAGAAGUCCGUGAAGAAGCUAGGAGGGAGACCCAAGCACAUAUGGAGAAGAAGAAGGAAGAAGAAGGACGAAUCGUGAAGCAAGGAAGGCCCCAGACUACCCCGGAUGCCCAACCGUCUACAGCUCGGGUGCCCGGCCCCCUCCUCCAGCUGGCUGGGGAAGACCCUGGCCGCCCCGGGUGCCCGGCCACUUCGGCACCGAGUGCCCGGCCCCGACCUGGGCGUUGGCAGAGGCCACCCCGGGUGCCCGGCCCGUCGGCCCGGGUGCCCGGCCGCCGCACCUCGGCCUCGCCUGGCCGCCCCGGGUACCUGGCCUGCCCCGCCUGGGAGCCUUCCGCCACCCCGGGUGCCCGGGCCAUCACCCCCGGGUGCCCGGCCUCCUCCUGGGCUCGGCCCCAGCCCGCACCGAGUGCCCACGCCAUCAACCCCCGGGUGCCCGGCCCAAAGGUUACUUGGCCGCGGCCUCCCUGACCGGACCGGGUGCCCGGUCCUCCGCACCCCGGGUGCCCGGACGACUCCGAAUAUACCUGCGUGCAUUUUGGGCAAUUGACCCUUGUACCCCUCUCUCCCCUCUAUGUCGUCCAUAGACUAUAUAUGCCCCUUCCCUAGCUCAUUUGAGAGGAUAGCAAAGUAUAUGUGAGAUAUUGAGAGAGCUUUGCUCAUCUUCCUCCUCUUGGAGAUCAUGACCUCCUAAGGGAGAAGAUCCUCUUGUGGAUUCCAAGGCCCCAUCUAGGGAAGGAUCCCCAUCAUAGGAUCAUCAAGACUCUUUCCUCAUAGGAUUGGGAUGAACUAGUUACCUCUUGUAUCUUCUUGUGUUGGAUUUGGACCCUUGUAUCUCUCUUUGUGUGAUUAGAUCUAGCACAUGUGUGAUUGGAUCAAGUCAAUUUAAGUGUUCCUCUUGUUUUCCCCCUUUGUGUUCUUCUUGUUCUUGGGGAUUUCCCCUCCAAUUCGUGAAAGAUCUUCACCUAGGGUUCCACCCUACAACAGAUAGGCUCUGCGUUCACGUACAACGGGUGCAAGACAGUUUUGCACAUGCGGAAUACUCGGGUUAAACUUGACGAGCCUAGCAUGUACAGACAUGGCCCGGAACACUGGAGACCGAAAGGUCGAACGUGAAUCAUAUAGUAGAUAUGAUCAACAUAGAGAUGUUCACCAUUGAUGACUACUCCAUCUCACGUGAUGAUCGGACAUGGUUUAGUUGAUUUAGAUCACGUAUCAUUUAGAUGACUUGAGGGAUGUCUAUCUAAGUGGGAGUUCUUAAGUAAUUUGAUUAAUUGAACUUUAAUUUAUCAUGAACUUAGUCCUGAUAGUAUUUGCAAAUUAUGUUAUAGAUCAAUAGCUUGCAAUGUUCCUAGAGAAAAAUAAGUUGAAAGAUGAUAGUAGCAAUGAUGCAGACUAGGUCCGUGAUCUGAGGAUUAUCCUCAUUGUCGCACAGAAAAAUUAUGUCCUUGAUGCACCGCUAGGUGACAGACCUAUUGCAGGAGUAGAUGUAGACGUUAUGAACGUUUGACAAGCUCGAUAUGAUGACUACUUGAUAGUUUAGUGCGCCAUGCUUUACGGCUUAGAACCGGGACUUCAAAAACGUUUUGAACGCCACAGAGCAUAUGAGAUGUUCCAAGAGCUGGAAUUGGUAUUUCAGACUCAUGUCUGAGUCAAGAGGUAUGAGACCUCUGAUAGUACUUUGCCUACAAAAUGGAGGAGAAUAACUCAACCAGUGAGCAUGUGCUCAGAAUGUCUGAGUACUACAAUUGCUUGAAUCAAGUGGGAGUUAAUCUUCCAGAUAAGAUAGUGAUUGGCAGAGUUCUCUAGUCACUAUCACCAAGUUACUGAAACUUCGUGAUGAACUAUAAUAUGCAAGGGAUAACGAAAACGAUUCCCGAGCUCUUCGUGAUGCUGAAAUCGAUGAAAGUGGAAAUCAAGAAAGAGCAUCAAUUGUUGAUGGUUAACAACACCACUAGUUUCAAGAAAAAGGGCAAAGGAAAAGAAAGGGAACUUCAAGAAGAAUGACAAGUGAAAGGAUCGAUAUAGUUGACUAGAGGGGGGGUGAAUAGGCAACUAACAAUUUUUAACCUUUUCUUUCUCAAAUUAAACUUUGCAUCAAAGUAGGUUGUCUAGAUAUGCAACUAGGUGAGCAACCUAUAUGAUGCAACAACAACAAGCACACAAGCAAGCAAGAGAUGCAACACAAUAUAAGCUUGCACAAGUAAAGGUACGAAAUAACCAAGAGUGGAGCCGGUGAAGACGAGGAUGUGUUACGGAAGUUCCUUCCCUUUGAGGGGAAGUACGUCUCCGUUGGAGCGGUGUGAAGGCACAAUGCUCCCCAAGAAGCCACUAGGGCCGUCGUAUUCUCCUCACGCCCUCACACAAUGCGAGAUGCCGUGAUUCCACUAUUGGUGCCCUUGGAGGCGGCGACCGAACCUUUACAAACAAGGUUGGGGCAAUCUCCACAACUUAAUUGGAGGCUCCCAACGACACCACGAAGCUUCACCACAAUGGACUAUGGCUCCGAGGUGACCUCAACCGUCUAGGGUGCUCAAACACCCAAGAGUAACAAGAUCCACAAGGGAUUAGUGGGGGAAUCAAAUUUCUCUUGGUGGAAGUGUAGAUCCGGGCCUUCUCAACCAAUCCCUAGAAAAUCAACAAGUUUGAUUGGCUAGGGAGAGAGAUCGGGAGAAAAUGGAGCUUGGAGCAACAAUGGAGUUUGGGGAUGGAAGAGGUAAGUUUUCUUGGAGAAGAAGACCCCUUUAUAUAGUGGGGGGGACACAUCCAACCGUUAUGCAGCCCGCAGCCCACAUCUGGGCGGUACUACCGUUGCUGGAGCGGUAGUACCGCUGCCACAGCGGCACUACCGCUGUGGCAAGCAGGCAGGCGGGCAAACAGGACAAAGGAGGAAGAAGUACACGCACUAGGGCGGUACUACCGCCCUGAGAGCGGUACUGCCGCUUCCUACACCCGCUGGAAAAACAGGGGAGGGCAGCGAGUAGAGCGGCAGUGGAGCGGAAGUAGGAGCAGUACUACCGCCCUUAGGGCGGUACUACCGCGCCCUACUGCCGUCCCUACUACCACCCCCUGCGUGGUCCUAUACGAAAACCCGACACGAAAAAGUCGAGAGCACAACAGGAGCGGUAGUACCAGCGGCACUAACAAGCGGUACUACCGCCAAUAGGCGGUAGUACCGCCCUGGCCGCGGUACUACCGCUUAGCACAAGGCACCCCUUGUUUUGCACAACACGGAAACUCCAACAGGCAAGAAGACAGCGUGGGUGCAAGGAAAAUGUGUACGUGAUGAUUCCACCCAUACUCUUCCGAAACGGAUCCCCUUUUGAUAGUACGGUUAUCCCUACGACUCAAUUCCACCGUAAAGAAACGAAGGAAAAUAAUCCGUCCAAAGUGAAGACCUCGAAGGGUAACAAUCGCAAAGUGCCCUUAUAUUAGAUCACCUGAAACACUUAGUGCACACGAUUAGUCCGCAAACGUAUUGUCAUCAAUCACCAAAACUACUUAAGGGAUAAAUAUGCCCUUACAAUCUCCCCCUUUUUGGUGGAUUGAUGACAACACGGGAUUUGCACAAAAUAGUAACUGAAAGUAAGCAAACCCCCUUCUAACAAAAUAUAGACGGGCUCCCCCUAGAGAUGUGCACCAAGGAAUUAGGAUGAAAGGCUAUGUGCACAUCUUUAGGAUCAAACUCCCCCUAUAUUUUGUAGGUAGACAACAUCCUUGCAUAUAAGAAUAACAACAAGUACAACUAAGCAAGGACGAGCAGAGAGCAAUAAUAUAAAUGCAGAAAAAGAAGCAUCUCACAAUAUAAUAGGGUACUUGAUACUAAAGUAAAUAGGAUAGGGUAGUUCAAAUAUGUCUUACACCAUAUGGUCUUGCUCACAGCCGAAAGAAAGCGAACGAAAACGAACGAACACAACGAACACGAGACACGAACACGAACACACCAACACACACGCCAACACAAGACCUAAGGCAAAUCGCUAACUCUCCCCCUUUGGCAUCAAGACACCAAAAGGGACGACACGACACACGAUGGUAGUAGGUCUCCAUGGCAUUACCAGUCAUGCUCCUCCUCCUCCUCAUCCUCAGAAACCUCUGCAGCACGGGGAGAAGUAUGAACUCCGGUGUCCUCCUCAGUGUCAGACCACGGGCAAUGCACUCUGAUCCAGGACUCCUCAUCAGUGAUCCUCUCCUCAGAGCCAUCUGGAGCCUCAAGGCCAACCUGUCUCAUAAUAGCCUUGUCACGGCGACGAGCCAUCUUGGCCUCCUUAUGAACCUUGUACUGGCCCUUGGCCUGAAAGCAGAACAGACGCUUCAUCUUCUCCUUGAGUUUCUUCGCCCAAGAGGGCUCCUCAGAUGGGGGCACAUACUCCGGCCCAUCAUCAUCAUCCUCCUCAUCAGAUAGGACAGUCUCCUACACUGGAGGUGCCGGAGUAGACGAACUCCACUUCUCCUUCUGACGCAACUCGAUAGUGUCAUGAGACACCAUGUUGUCUGUGACAAGCUCCUCAUCUGGAAACUUGGCUGCCCAAGUGUCCUCGAUAAGCUGCAUAAGAUAGGGCCCUUAGAUGAUGCACUUGCCUUCCAUGACAAUAGAGUAAAGUUCAGACCACAUCACAUGUGACACGUCCAGCACCAGGGGAGAGUCCUUCUCUUCUUGACAGAAUAGGAGCAAGUCAACUAGGUAAGAGUGCACCUGAUCCAAGUUGCCAACCCGAGGAAACAGACUGUUCCUGAAGAUACGAUGCAUGAUGUCAAGGAAGGGCCAGAGCUCAUAAGUAACCUUCCCAGUCUCUGACACCUUCCUGGUAGAAUAGGGCCAAAGCUUCUCCUUAUGAGUAGCAGCAAUCUCCUUAUGAGGGCGAAACCCAAGUGGGGUCUGGGCACCCUCAUCAUCGUACGAUAAGUUGACCAUGAAGUCCUUCCAAGGGGUGGACAGAAGACGGCCAUUGGUCAUCCAAGUCAGAGUGCGGGCCGGAUCAUGCCCAAAGUGAACGGUGGCAAAGAACUGGGCCACGAGCUCGGCAUCAAAGUCCUUGUUGAAGGAAAUGAUCCUCUUGAUAUCCAACUCCUCACACCUCUGUAGAGCAUCCCAAAGUAUUGCAAGUCCUUCUCCAUGUGCGAGAGAUCGACAGACUUGACCUUCACAAACAAGUUCUUCUUCUUCUUCUUCUUCAAGACAUCGUGAUAGAUAGACUGCUAAAACCUGUUCCAGAAUGGACGGCGCAGAAGAGCAGGCUCCUGGUCCGCAUGGUAGGGAUUGAGCUUCCUCUUGGUACAGAACUCCAUUCUAGACAUCUGAUUGGCAGGCUUGCGCAAAGCGGAGGUCUUUGACGUUGGAACCUUGGCCUUGCGUCUUGGUGGCGCAGAAGAGACACCCUCACCACCACCAGCAGCAGACUCUGGAACAUCUGACGAGCGAUAGCGCUUGGAACCUGUUGCACGGUCCGGAUUCUUGCGGCGGGCCUGAUGCCCGGAGCUACUACCACCUAAAAGCACACGCACACAAAGACCACAAAAGCAAGAGAGCAUAAGCCAGGGAAAGACGAAGACCAACAAGAGGAUUAGGUAUAGAAACAGGAGCAAUGGCAUCUCAGGGCGGUAGUACCGUGCACCAGAGCGGUAGUACCGCUUAUAAGCGGUAGUACCGCUAGGGUACAGUGGUAGUACCACUGGAGCGGUUGUCAGCGGGCUGACACCUACCGCGACAAGGUCCGGUACUACCGGAGAUGCAAAAGAUCAUAUUUCUACACCUAAUCAACAAACACCCUAGUCUAGCAGUCUCCCAAGUCCUUCCUAAGCCUCGAUUCAACAACUAAAUCGAGGGAUGCAACGAGUAUAGCCCAAAAACCUAGAUUCAAGAAGGAGAACCAAGGGAGAGAAGAACGGGGGCAAUACCGGCAUCCAUGGCACGAGGAGAGGGUGGGGAAUGAUCCCACCGGACGGAAACGAGGGAGCCGGCCUGAAUCCGGCGGCCCGGCGGCCAGCCUCCGGUGCUUGGGGAGUCGCCUGAGAGAGAGGAGAGGACGAGGGGAUGGGGCAAAUUGGACGGGUAUGGGGGAGUAGACACUCCCCCUGCCCAAUACAUACCCCACACGCCCAGCCCCAAGCGGUAGUACCGCGCAAGGCACGGUAGUACCGCCCUGGUGCAGAUCUGGAGCACGAAGCGCCCAUUGAACCACUCCAUGGUAGUACCGAGUCUGCCGGGCGGUAGUACCGCUUAUAAGCGGUAGUACCGCUCUGCCGACGCGGUAGUACCGCUCAGGCGCCCCAAAGCAGAAACAAGGAGGGGAAAGAAGACUUAUGCUCGACUAGAGAAAAACAGCAGGACCACACAAGACACGACAAGCCAAACCCGAACACGACCACACCAAAACACAACCACUCACAAGAGAGAAGCACAAGCAACAAGAAACAGCACACAAACAAACUCUCGAGAAGAGAGGGCGGUGGCCAUGGCCACCUAUGUUUGAGCAAAUGAUAUGGCGCCGCGAAGAAUUAUCCUUGGGCCCAUGACCAAAACUCCUCUUUGAAGCACAAGUACCAUAAAAAAUGGCUAAUGUGAAAGACUCGAUCAAUUUAUGCAUAAUGGGGGGAGGAAGAGUUCAUUGAGAGAACAACACUCCCCCUAUGUCCAUGCCUACACCUAAACAAGACAACAAGUUGAGUAUGGUGGGAUGUGCAAGGGUUCAAGUCACAUUGCUCGAAUCAAUGAUAUUUAGCUCAUGCCUUAACUCGCGAAAUCUUGCUUCAUCCCAGGGCUUCGCGAAAAUAUCCGCAAGGUUAUCAUGAGUGUUGACAUGGUUGAGCUCGAUCUCCCCUCGCCUAAUGUGAUCCCGGAUGAAGUGAUACCGAAUCUCAAUAUGCUUCGUCUUGAAGUGUUGGACCGGGUUGAGAGAAAUCUUGGUGGCACUUUCAUUGUCACACCAAAGAGGCACUUUGUCACAAAUGACACCGUAAUCCUUUAAAGUUUGCCUCAUCCAAAGAAGUUGUGCACAACAACUACCGGCCGCCACAUACUCCGCUUCGGUGGACGAGAGAGACACACAACUUUGUUUCUUGGAAGACCAACUCACCAAAGAGCAACCAAGAAAUUGGCACCCUCCGGAAGUGGACUUCCUAUCCACUUUGUCUCCCGCCCAAUCGGAGUCCGAAUAUCCUACAAGCUUGAAGUUUUCUCCUCAUGGGUACCAUAAGCCAAAGUUUGGGGUAUGAGCCAAAUAUCGAAAGAUUCGCUUGACCGCCACAAAGUGGCUUUCCUUAGGUGCGGCUUGAAACCGUGCACAAAUUCCCACACUCAACAUGAUAUCCGGUCUAGAUGCACAAAGGUAAAGCAAGGAGCCAGUCAUGGAGCGAUAUACCUUUUGAUCCACCGCUUUACCAUUGGGAGCAAUGUCAAGUUGGCACUUGGUGGGCAUUGGAGUGGAAACCGGCUUGACAUCACUUAGCUUGAAUCUCUUUAGCAUGUCUUGAGUGUAUUUGGCUUGGUUGAUGAAGGUUCCUUCUCUUCUUUGUUUGACUUCGAAUCCAAGGAAGAACUUCAACUCUCCCAUCGAAGACAUCUUGAACUCAGAGGUCAUGAGAGUGGCAAAUUCCUCAUUGAAAGCUUUGUUAGGGGAACCAAAGAUAAUAUCAUCAACAUAUAGUUGGCACACAAACAACUCCCCUUUGACCUUCUUAGUAAAAAGAGUGGGGUCGAUUAGCCUAACUUCAAAUCCACGGUCUUGUAACAACUCGGUAAGGUGGUCAUACCACGCACGUGGGGCUUGUUUAAGGCCAUAGAGUGCCUUAUCGAGUUGGUACACAUGAUGGGGAAAGUAGGGAUCCUCGAACCCGGGGGGUUGCUUGACAUAUACCAACUCAUUAAUAGGACCAUUAAGAAAAGCAGUUUUAACAUCCAUUUGUUGCAACUUAAAGUUGUGAUGAGAAGCAUAAGCAAUCAACAAACGAAUGGAUUCAAGGCGAGCAACGGGAGCAAAGGUUUCACCGUAGUCGAUACCCUUGACUUGGGAGUAGCCUUGUGCCACCAAUCUUGCCUUGUUGCGAACGAUGGUCCCAUGAGCAUCUUGCUUGUUCUUGAAUAUCCACUUGGUUCCAAUGACAUUGUGGUUCCCCGUUGGCCUUGGCACCAAUCUCCACACCUUGUUGUACUCGAAGUUGUUGAGUUCUUCAUGCAUGGCAUUAAGCCAAUCCGGAUCUUCGAGCGCCUCAUAUACCUUUUGGGGUUCAACACAAGAGACAAACGCGUGAUGUUCACAAUAGUUUGCCAAUUGUCUAAGAGUGCUUACCCCCUUUUGAAUGCUUCCAAGAACAUUCUUCAUGAGAUGAACCUUGGUGGAGAGCUUGGAAGCAAUCUUGGCAGCACGACGCUCCAAUUCCUCCUCGGGGGUGAGUCGAGGAGCGGUCACUUGAUCAUCUUGAGUGUCGUCUUGAGCUUGUUCUUGAUCUCGAGGAAGCUCUUGAUCUUGAACUUGCUCGGAGGAGAGAACUUGACCUUGGGCAUCACUUGAUGUUACAACACCAUCUUGGGAUUGAUCUUGCCCUUGGUCUUAUUCUUGAGGUUGGGGGCCUUCACUUUGUUCUUCGGAAGCGUGUGGGCCUUGGGUUGGUGAUGGCUCCACUUGAGUGGAGCAUUGUCCUUCUCCUUCGGCCACAAGGGGUUCCUCAAUGGGUAGGAUAAAACCAACACCCAUUCUUCUUAUGGCUUGAGGAGGAAUUUCAUGACCUACAUCACAAGUGCCACUUUGCUCCACUUGGGAGCCAUUAUUCUCAUCAAACUCCACGUUACACGUCUCCUCAAUAAGCCCCGUGGACUUAUUGAGGACACGGUAAGCAUGAGAGUUUGUAGCAUAACCAACAAAUAUGCCCUCAUAAGCUCUAGCCUCGAAUUUAAACAAACAAACACCUUUCUUGAGAAUGAAACACUUACACCCGAACACCCGAAAGUACUUGAGGUUGGGCUUGUUACCGGUGAGUAUCUCAUAUGGAGUCUUGUUCAAGCCUUUGCGGAGAUAGAGACGAUUUGAUGCAUGACACGCGGUGUUGAUGGCUUCGGCCCAAAAGUUGUAUGGAGACUUGAACUCCGCCCUCAUGGUCCUUGCCGCAUCCAUCAACGUCCGGUUCUUCCUCUCCGCAACACCAUUUUGUUGAGGGGUGUACGGUGCGGAAUAUUUAUGCUUGAUCCCCUCAUCACUAAGAAACUCAUCCAAGGUGUAGUUCUUGAACUCGGUGUCGUUGUCACUUCUUAUUGUCAAGAUCUUUGCAUUGUGUUGACGUUGGGCUUCAUUUGCAAAGUCAAUGACGGUUUGUUGGGUCUCGCUCUUCCUCUUGAAGAAAUAUACCCAAGUGUAUCUUGAAUAGUCAUCCACAAUGACCAAGCAAUACUUUCUACCCCCAAGACUAUCAAAGGAUGGAGGCCCAAAGAGAUCCAUAUGAAGGAGCUCCAAAGGCCUCUUCGAGUAAAUGAUAGUCAUGGGAGGGUGAGCCUUUUCAUGUAGCUUUCCUUCGAUACAAGCACUGCAAGCACGAUCUUUAGCAAAACUAACAUUCGUUAGUCCACGGACAUGGUCCCCCUUGAGAAGACUUUGCAAAGAUCUCAUAUUGACAUGGGCUAGACGGUGAUGCCAAAGCCAUCCCACGUCAACUUUAGCCAUUAGGCAUGUCGCGGUCUUAGUGGGUCGCUCCGAAAAGUUAAUCACAUAGAGACCGUUCUCAACAUGCCCAACAAAGGCUACUUUAAGAGUCUUGCUCCACAAGAGGGCCACAGUGUCAAUAUCAAAGAAGGUGGCAAAGCCCAUGAGUGCAAGUUGACGAACGGAAAGUAAAUUGUAUGCAAGGGACUCAACAAGCAUGACCUUCUCGAUCGUGAGAUCAUGAGAAAUGACAACCUUACCGAGUCCCAAUACCUUGGACGACUAGGCAUCACCCUACUCGACAUUGGUGGGCAUAGAUGGAAUCUUGUGCACGUCCACCACCAAGUCCUUGCUUGCGGCCAUAUGAUUUGUAGCUCCACUAUCGAGUAACCAUGAUCCCCCACCGGAAGCAAACACCUACAAGAGAUCAAUGCUUGGAUUUAGGUACCCAUUUUGUAAUGGGUCCUUUGAUGUUAGUGACAAGGGUCUUAGGAACCCAAAUAGACCAUUCAAUGUACUCAUAAGGAGAACCAACAAAUUUGGCAUAAACAUGCCCAUCACUAGCACGACACAACACGUAAGAAGGGUUAAAGUCGCCGGCUUUGUUGGAAGGGGUGGCAUUGCUUCUCUUGGCACCACCACCCUUCACAUUAUUCUUCUUCUCCUUGGAAGCACCCUCUCCCUCCUUCACAAAGGUUUGCUUGAGAGGGGGAGGUCGUUUGGUCUUGUCAUUCUUCUUCUUGUUCUUGGGCAUGGGUGCAAACCCAAUCCCUUCCUUGGCCACAGCUUCCUUUUGAUUGCUCAAAAGGUCGUUGAGGUUCUUCUCACCUUGUAUGCAAGACACAAGGCCUUUCUCAAGUUGCAUCUUCAACUUGGCAUUCUCCUCAAUAAGAUGCACAUGUUCACAACAUGGGUUAGUAGCAUUUGCAUUAUCAAUCAAAACCAUAUGAGGAAAGGUGGCUUUCUCCUUAGUUAGCUUCACUUGGAGUUGAUCGUGAGACUCUUAAGACUAGCAUGAAUACCUUUCAAGGCUUUAUGGGCCUUGUCAAGUAUAUCAAACUCUUCCUUGAGUCUAGCAAGAUCAACUUCAAGUUUGGCCUUCUCGGAAUUUAGCACACGAGAUAAGACACAAGCAUGAUCAAGAUCUUUCUUUAAUUUAGCAUGAUCAUCGUUGUGACUCCUCAAGAGCCAAACGAAGACCACGCUAUUCCUCAAGAGCAUUAGAGAGAUCCGAUAUCUCAUCGGCAUAAUCACGACUAUGCCCCUCCAUAUUAGAGAUGGUUUCUUCAUGAGCCUUGAUGGUGUCAUUGGCUUCACCAAGUUGUUCCAAGAGAGCAACAAAGUGCUUCUUGGACUUACCCUUGAGCUUACUCAUAAAGGAAUCAAACUCAUUUUCUUCCUCAUUAGGCCCCACAUUUUCAUCAAUGCAAUCCGUCAAGGAAGGAUUAGUAAUGAUGGUUACCUUGUUGGUUGCUUUAGCCAUGAGGCACUUGGCGAUGAUGUUCUCAUUGGGUGAUUCGAAGAGGGAUACCCGAGGAGUUGUUGCAAUGGCCACGGAGGCCAUAGCAACCGAGUCACCGCCUUCAUCAUCAUCAUCAUCCUCAUUGUACUCUUCUUGUGCAACCAACCCCUUGGGAGGAGUCCUCUUGGUGAAGUUGCUCUUGUUAGGGAAAGACUUGGCUUUGUCCUUUCGAAUGAGCUUGCCACCAUUGUCUUCUCUCUUCCCAUAAGGGCAUUCCGCAACAAAAUGGCUCACAUUGCCACAAUUAUAGCACGUCCUCACGCGUUGCUUGACCUUGUUGCCACUUGAGUUGUUCUUGUUGAAGUUGGGCCUUGAGUUCUUCUUACUCCAAAAUUGUCGUGAAGCGAGAGCCAUGUGCUCAUGAUAAUCAUACUUUGUAUCUUCGGGGUUGUUCUCAUCUUCUUCCUCUUCUUCUUCUUCUUCUUCUUCUUCUUCUUCCACACUAACCUUGGCCUUUAAUGCAAGGUUGGGCUUCUUUGCUCUUUGAGAACGUAGCACCGCAUUGUCGGCGGUCUUGUCCAGGAUGCUCAUAGCCACAAACUCAUCCAACACUUCACUUGAGGACAAAGUGUGCAAGUCCGGCCUUUGACAAAUGACGGAGGACAUGGCCUUGUGGUAAGGCAUCAUUGCCUUGAGGAAUUUGCGCUUGAUCCAAUUGUCAUCCGUGUCCUUGCUCCCAUGAUCUCAGAGUGAGACCGCGAGUUUGGUUACUCUCCGAUAAAGCUCGCGAGGUUCUUCAUCUUCUUUCAUUGCAAACUCAUCGGCUUCAUCUUGCACCACUUCAUAGUUGGAGCAUUGAAUGCUUGCGCUACCCCGGUAGAGGGAGACAACACAAAGCCAUGCAUCUUUGGCCAAGGCGAAGGGCCGAAGAUGAGGGAGAUCUUCGGGUGGAAUUGCAUCUUGGAUGAUGAAGAGAGCAUUCUCAUUGAAUUGAUUAUCCGCGGCUUCUCUAGGGGUGAAGUUGCUUGGGUCAUGCGGAUAGAAACCUUCUUCAAUGAUUCUCCAAAGAUUAGUAUUCACAUGAUUUAAAUGACGCUUAAAGCGAUAAACCCAAGAAUCAAAGUCCUCAUUUUUCACAAUCUUAGGGGGAGGACCGGCAUGAUUCAAAUGAGUAGAAGGAAUCGGUCCACCAUAAACAAGUGGAGGUUCCACAUGGGCAAAGAUGCCGGUGCCAUUCUUACCACUAUAAGAAGGAGCUUUUUCACUAGUAGCUUCCCCCUUGUCGGAGUUAGCAUCCGUCACCUUGUUAGUGGGAUCACCCACUUUCAAUGGUGCGGUGGAUAGUUUAAGCCCUUCAAUGAAUUUAUUAAACAUGCUUUCAACCUCGGUCGUCAUGGAGGUUUUCAACGUGUCCAAGGCCAUAUUGAAUUCCUCACGAGAGACCGAGGUUCCCCCAUCGCCCGUAGACGAGACCGGAUUCGCACCGAAGUGCUCCUCCACACCGUCUACGGUGUCAACCAUACUCUUCGGAUGGCAAAGUCCUUAAUAAAGUGACGAGGCUCUGAUACCGAUUAAAAGGAUCGAUAUAGUUGACUAGAGGGGGGUGAAUAGGCAACUAACAAUUUUUAACCUUUUCUUGCUCAAAUUAAACUUUGCAUCAAAGUAGGUUGUCUAGAUAUGCAACUAGAUGAGCAACCUAUAUGAUGCAACAACAACAAGCACACAAGCAAGCAAGAGAUGCAACACAAUAUAAGCUUGCACAAGUAAAGGUACGAAAAUAACCAAGAGUGGAGCCGGUGAAGACGAGGAUGUGUUACCGAAGUUCCUUCCCUUUGAGGGAAGUAUGUCUCCGUUGGAGCGGUGUGGAGGCACAAUGCUCCCAAGAAGACACUAGGGCCACCGUAUUCUCCCCACGCCCUCACACAAUGCGAGAUGCCGUGAUUCCACUAUUGGUGCCCUUGGAGGCGGCGACCGAACCUUUACAAACAAGGUUGGGGCAAUCUCCACAACUUAAUUGGAGGCUCCCAACGACACCACGAAGCUUCACCACAAUGGACUAUGGCUCCAAGGUGACCUCAACCGUCUAGGGUGCUCAAACACCCAAGAGUAACAAGAUCCGCAAGGGAUUAGUGGGGGGAAUCAAAUUUCUCUGGGUGGAAGUUAGAUCUGGGCCUUCUCAACCAAUCCCUAGAAAAUCAACAAGUUUGAUUGGCUAGGGAGAGAGAUCGGGCGAAAAUGGAGCUUGGAGCAACAAUGGAGUUUGGGGAUGGAAGAGGUAAGUCUUCUUGGAGAAGAAGACCCUUUAUAUAGUGGGGGGGCACAUCCAACCGUUAUGCAGCCCGCAGCCUGCAUCUGGGCGGUACUACCGUUGCUGGAGCAGUAGUACCGCUGCCACAGUGGCACUACCACUGUGGCAAGCAGGCAGACGUGCAAACAGGACUGAGGAGGAAGAAGUACACGCACUAGGGCGGUACUACCGCCCUGAGAGCGGUACUACCGCCUAUAGGCGGUACUGCCGCUUCCUACAGCCGCUGGAAAAACAGGGGAGGGCAGCGAGCAGAGCGGCAGUGGAGCGGAAGUAGGAGCAGUACUACCGCCCUCAGGGCGGUACUACCGUGCCCUACUGGCGUCCCUACUACCGCCCCCUGCAUGGUCCUAUACGAAAACCUGACACGAAAAAGUCGAGACCACAACAGGAGCGGUAGUACUAGUGGCACUAACAAGCGGUACUACCGCGUAGCACAAGGCACCCCUUGUUUUGCACAACACGGAAACUCCAACAGACAGGAAGACAGCGUGGGUGCAAGGAAAAUGUGUACGUGAUGAUUCCACCCAUACUCUUCCGAAACGGAUCCCCUCUUGAUAGUACAGUUAUCCCUACGACUCAAUUCCACCGAAAAGAAACAAAGGAAAAUAAUCCGUCCAAAGUGAAGACCUCGAGGGGUAACAAUCGCAAAGUGCCCUUAUAUUAGAUCACCUGAAACACUUAGUGCACACGAUUAGUCCGCAAACGUAUUGUCAUCAAUCACCAAAACUACUUAAGGGGUAAAUAUGCCCUUACAACAAGCAAGUUGCUAGUCCCGUGAAGAAGACCAAAGCUAGACCUAAGCCUGAAACUAAGUGCUUCUACUGCAAAGGGAAUGAUCACUGGAAGCGGAACUACCCCAAAUAUGCGGAUAAGAAGGAUGGCAAAGUGAACAAAGGUAUAUUUGAUAUACAUGUUAUUGAUGUGUACUUUACUAGUGUUCAUAGUAACCCCAGGGUAUUUGAUAUCGGUUCAGUUGCUAAGAUUAGUAACUCGAAACUGGAGUUGCAAAAUGAACACAGACUAGUUAAGGGCGAGGUGACGAUGUGUGUUGGAAGUGAUUCCAAAUUUGAUAAGAUUAACAUCGCACACUCCCUCUACCUUCGGGAUUAGUGUUGGACAUAAAUAAAUGGUAUUUGGUGUUUGCGUUGAGCAUGAAUAUGAUUGGAUCAUGUUUAUUGCGAUACGGUUAUUCAUUUAAGUCAGAGAAUAAUUGUUGUUCUGUUUACAUGAAUAAAACCUUCUAUGGUCAUACACCCAAUGUGAAUGGUUUAUUGAAUCUCGAUCGUGAUGAUACGCAUAUUCAUAAUAUUGAUGCCAAAAGAUGCAAAGUUGAUAAUGAUAGUGCAACAUAUUUGUGGCACUGCCGUUUAAGUCAUAUUGGUGUAAAGCGCAUGAAGAAACUCCAUACGGAUGGAUUUUUGGAAUCACUUGAUUAUGAAUCGUUUGAUACUUGCGAACCAUGCCUCAUGGGAAAGAUGACUAAAACUCCGUUCUCCGGAACAAUGGAGCGAGCUAAUGACUUGUUGGAAAUAAUACAUACCGAUGUAUGCGGUCCGAUGAGUGUUGAAGCUCGCGGCAGAUAUCGUUAUUUUCUGACCUUCGCAGAUGAUUUGAGCAGAUAUGGGUAUAUCUACUUGAUGAAACACAAGUCUGAAGCAUUUGAAAUGUUCAGAGAAUUUCAGAGUGAAGUGGAGAAUCAUCGUAACAAGAAAAUAAAGUUCCUACGAUCUGAUCGCGGAGGCGAAUAUUUGAGUUACGAGUUUGGCCUUCAUUUAAAACAAUGUGGAAUAGUUUCACAACUCACGCCACCUAGAACACCAUAGCAUAAUGGUGUGUCCGAAUGUCGUAACCGUACUUUAUUAGAUAUGGUGCGAUCUAUGAUGUCUCUUACCGAUUUACCACUAUCGUUUUGGGGUUAUGCAUUAGAGACAGCUGCAUUCACGUUAAAUAGAGCACCGCCUAAAUUCAUUGAGAUGACACCGUAUGAACUGUGGUUUUACAAGAAACCUAAGCUGUUGUUUCUUAAAGUUUGGGAUUGCGAUGCUUAUGUGAAAAAGCUUCAGCCUGAUGAGCUCGAACCCAAAUCGGAGAAGUGUGUCUUCAUAGCAUACCCAGAAGAAACUGUUGGGUACACCUUCUAUCACGGAUCCGAAGGCAAGAUCUUUGUUGCUAAGAAUGGAUCCUUUCUAGAGAAGGAGUUUUCUAUCGAAAGAAGUGAGUGGGAGGAAAGUAGAACUUGAUGAGGUAGUUGUACCUUCUCUCGAAUUGGAAAGUAGCUCAUCACAGAAAACCGUUCUCGUGAUGCCUACACCAACUAGAGAGGAAGCUAAUGAUAAUGAUCAUGAAACUUCAGAUCAAGUUACUACCGAACCUCGUAGGUCAACCAGAGCACGUUCCACACCAAAGUGGUACACCAAUGUUACUAGACCAUGACGAACCUACGAACUAUGAAGAAGCGAUGAUGAGCCCAUAUUCCGAUAAAUGGCUUGAGGCCAUGAAAUCUGAGAUAGGAUCCAUGUACGAGAACAAAGUGUGGACUUUGGUUGACUUGCCCGAUGAUCGGCAAGCCAUAGAGAAUAAAUGGAUCUUCAAGAAGAAGACUGACGCUGAUGGUAAUGUUACUGUCUACAAAGCUCGACUUGUCAUGAAAGGUUUUUCGACAAGUUCAAGGAGUUGACUACGAUUAGACCUUCUCACCUGUAGCGAUGCUUAAGUUUGUCCGAAUCAUGUUAGCAAUUGCCGCAUUUUAUGUUUAUGAAAUCUGGCAAAUGGACGUCAAAACUGCAUUCCUUAAUGGAUUUCUUAAAGAAGAGUUGUAUAUGAUGCAACCAGAAGGUUUUGUCGAUCCUAAAGGUGCUAACAAAGUGUGCAAGCUCCAGCGAUCCAUUUAUGGACUGGCGCAAGCAUCUCGGAGUUGGAAUAUAUGCUUUGAUGAGGUGAUCAAAGCAUAUGGUUUUAUAUAGACUUUCGGAGAAGCCUGUAUUUACAAGAAAGUGAGUGGGAGCUCCAUAGCAUUUCUAAUAUUAUAUGUGGAUGACAUAUUGUUGAUUGGAAAUGAUAUAUAAUUUCUGGAUAGCAUAAAAGGAUACUUGAAUAAGAGUUUUUCAAUGAAAGACCUCGGUGAAAUUGCUUAUGUAUUAGGCAUCAAGAUCUAUAGAGAUAGAUCGAGACGCUUAAUAGGACUUUCACAAAGUACACACCUUGACAAGAUUUUGAAGGAGUUCAAAAUGGAUCAGUCAAAGAAGGAGUUCUUGUGUGUAUUGUAAGGUAUGAAGUUGAGUAAAGACUCAAAACCCGACCACGGUAGAAAAUAGAAAGAGAAUGAAAGUCAUUCCCUAUGCCUCAGCCAUAGGUUCUAUAAAGUAUGCUAUGCUUUGUACCAGACCUAUUGUGUACCUUGCCAUGAGUUUGGCAAGAGGGUACGAUAGUGAUCCAGGAGUGGAUCACUGGACAGCGGUCAAAGUUAUCCUUAGUUACCUAAGAGGACUAAGGAAAUAUUUCUCGGUUAUGGAGGUGAUAAAGAGUUCGUCGUAAAGAGUUAUGUUGAUGCAAGCUUUUACACCGAUCCGGAUGACUCUGAGUCUUAAUCUGGAUACAUAUUGAAAGUGGGAGCAAUUAGCUAGAGUAGCUCCAUGCGAAGCAUUGUAGACAUAGAAAAAUUGCAAAAUACAUACGCCUCUGAAUGUGCCAGACCCGUUGACUAAACCUCUCUCACAAGCAAAACAUGAUCACACCUUAGUACUCUUUUGGGUGAUAAUCACAUAGCGAUGUGAACUAGAUUAUUGACUCUAGUAAACCCUUUGUGUGUUGGUCACAUGGCGAUGUGAACUAUGGGUGUUAAUCACAUAAAGAUGUGAACUAUUGGUGUUAAAUCACAUGGUGAUGUGAACUAGAUUAUUGACUCUAGUGCAAGUGGGAGACUGAAGGAAAUAUGCCCUAGAGGCAAUAAUAAAUUUGUUAUUUUAUAUUUCCUUAUACCAUGAUAAAUGUUUAUUAUUCAUGCUAGAAUUGUAUUAACCGGAAACUUGAUACAUGUGUGGAUACAUAGACAAAACACAAUGUCCCUAGUAAGCCUCUACUAGACUAGCUCGUUAAUCAAAGAUGGUUAAGUUUCCUAACCAUAGACAUGUGUUGUCAUUUGAUGAAUGAGACCACAUCAUUAGGAGAAUGAUGUGAUGGACAUGACCCAUCCAUUAGCGUAGCAUAUCGAUCGUUCAGUUUUACUGCUAUUGCUUUCUUCAUGUCAUAUACAUAUUCCUUUGAGUAUGAGAUUAUGCAACUCCCAGAUACCGGAGGAAUACCUUGUGUGCUAUCAAACGUCACGACGUAACUGGGUGAUUAUAAACAUGCUCUACAGGUAUCUCCGAAGGUGUUUGUUGGGUUGGCAUAUAUCGAGAUUAGGAUUUGUCACUCUGAGUAUCGGGAGGUAUCUCUGGGCCCUCUCGGUAAUACACAUCAUAAGAAGCCUUGCAAGCAAUGUGACUAAUGAGUUAGUUGUGGGAUGAUGUAUUACAGAACGAGUAAAGAGACUUGUCGGUAAUGAGAUUGAACUAGGUAUGAAGAUACCGACGAUCGAAUCUCGGGCAAGUAACAUACCGAUGACAAAGGGAAUAACGUAUGUUGUCAUUACAGUAUGACCGAUAAAGAUCUUCGUAGAAUAUGUAGGAGCCAAUAUGAGCAUCCAGGUUCCACUAUUGGUUAUUGAACGGAGAGAUGUCUCGGUCAUGUCUACAUAGUUCUCGAACCCGCAGGGUGCGCACGCUUAACGUUCGACGACGAUUUGUUAUUAUAUGAGUUAUGUGAUUCGGUGACCAAAUGUUGCUCGGAGUCCCGGAUGAGAUCACGGACAUGAUGAGGAGUCUCGAGGUGUUCGAGAGGUAAAGAUUGAUAUAUAGGAUGAUGGUAUUCGGACAUCGGAAGUGUUCCGGGAAGCACCGGGUACUUAUCGGGUCACCGGAAGGGGUUCCGGGCACCCCCGGCAAAAGAUAUGGGCCUUAUGGGCCAAGAGGGGAAACACACCAGCCACAAAGGGGAUGGUGCGCCCCCCAUAUGGGCUGGCCAAAUUGGAGAGGGAAAGGGGAAGGAGGAAAGGAAAAAGGGAAUAGGAUUCCCCCUUCCCCCUCUUCCCUUCCUACUUCGAAUAGGAAUAGAAAAGGGGGGAGGCCGAAUUGGGAGGUGCCCAAGUAGGAUUCCUCCUACUUGGGGCGCCCCCUUGGCUGCCUCUCCUCCCCUCCAACCUAUAUAUAUGAGGGGGGGCACCGCUAGAACACACACCAACCAUUGCAAGCCGUGUGCGCCCCCCCUCCACAGUUUAUGCCUCCGGUCAUAUUCACGUAGUGCUUAGGCGAAGCCCUGCGCGGAUCACUUCACCAUCACCGUCACCAUGCCGUCGUGCUGACAGAACUCUCCCUCGACACUUUGCUGGAUCAAUAGUUUGAGGGACGUCAUCGAGCUGAACGUGUGCAGAACUUGGAGGUGCCGUACGUUCGGUGCUUGACCGGUCGGAGCGAGAAGAAGUUUGACUACAUCAACCGCGUUGUCAAACGGUUCCGCUUUCAGUAUACGAGGGUACAUAGACACACUCCCCCCUCUCGUUGCUAUGCAUCUCCUAGAUAGAUCUUGUGUGGACGUAGGAAAAGUUUUGAAAUUGCAUGCUACGUUUCCCAACACCCAGCUAGACUCUUUGAGAUUGCGCCGGACUUCCAACAGGACCUACGCUGCACGAUCUUGCUACCAGACCCUGUUCACCAGAUCCAUACCAUGACGCACUAGUAGCUCACCUGGCGGACCUAGGCGCCCCUAAAAUCCGUUUCUUCGCUUGGCAUGCCAAUUAGGAUAGCUGCUGGAUGGCCGCACACCUGGCUAGGCAUGGGCUCCUGCACGACGACGAAUGUGCGCUAUGUGAACGGGUGAUGGAAACGGUGCAGCACCUCCUACUCCACCACACUUUCUCUUAGGUUGUUUGGCAUGAAAUCUUUGCAUGGUGUCGAGAUAGUACUACCCCGCCUCAUGCCGGCGAGACCUUGGUGGGCGUCCUCAACUCUCAACGCACCCACAAGUAAGCAGAAAGGCAUUGCCUCCUUCCUCCUGCUCACGGCAUGGUCUAUCUAGAAGCCUCGAAAUGCCCGCAUCUUCGACAAUUCUCGGUCUCUACUUCCAUGACGCUAUAAUCAAUCAAAGAAAAAGGAUGCUCCCUAGGUGAAGGACGGGGCAAAGGGCCUAGCUAGUUUGUUGCCAAGAUAAUACCUUAGUGCCUGGGGCUGAGCAACCCCUCCUCUUUUAUGCUCUUGUAACCUCCUGUCGUGCCUUUCUGUGUGAGUGUCGCGGGACGUUACCCUUGUAACUCAACUUUGUUUCUCCCCUACCUAUCAAUGGAAUGCUAUGCAAUUUGCAUAUACGCAAAAAAUAUAAUUCUAACUCGUCAUCUUUCAUGCAUACUUUGUUUUUGCAUUUUCUUACCCUAUCAUGUUAUUAUUUUAUCCCCUUUUAUAUUCUCAUACCAUUAUACUGGAUUUUCUCCCAUGGAGCCGACAAUUCAUAUGAUUUCAAGAUAAACUCAAAGCGCCACCGCCUAAUUUGAAGAGGUUCGACACCAUCCAAACCUAUUUUGCCAGUGUAGAGCACUAGAGUCAUGGAGACUAAUUUUGAAUCAUGUGGGUGCGAUCAAUGCAAAGCUCCGAAAAUCUAUUCAGGCAUUCUACGGUUUAUGAUAAGAAUAAGCAUUGUAAGAGUUUUGCUUUGAGAUAAGUGCUUUUUUCUUCCCUCAACUUAUCGCGAAGUGUGGCUUUCACCCCUGAACUCUUUUGUGGUGCAACUUUCGUCCCUCAACUCUUAAUACCAGAUAUAGUUAGUCCAUGGCAGUGGUAUUCAAUAAUCAAACCUAGUUUUGACCUUUUUUGCGAAAAUUCUAGUUUUGACCUUAUGUGACAUGGUUUUGGUCACACCAUCACUGUAAGGUGGCAUAGGGUUGCAUGUCAUUGAGAGAAAUCUCUCCCUCUCUCUCCGUGUCAUGUCACCGAUCCAUUGGCGCCGCUCCAGCAAGUGACAAGAGCAACUCCACCCGCUUUAAAUAUCCACUGUGUGAUGCUACUCUAGGAGGCCGGUGAUGGGAGCAACUCCUCCCGCUUCAGAUGGUCAACAUGAUAGUUAGGUGAGGAUAGGACAAUAGGCGAUGGAUCAGAUCUAAACCGGCAUAGGGAGAGAAAGGAGCACAAUUCGCCAAGAUUCAAUCCCAAACCCUUGAGGCAUUCCCCUUACAGUAAUGAUGUGAUCAAAAUCGUGCCAUGAAAAGUGAAGACCGGAUUUGGUAGAGCAAUACACAUGUUAGGGACUAAUUCUACAUGAUAAUUAAAAGUUGAGGGACAAAGGUUGCACCAAGAUGUGGUCAAAACAAUGACAUAUCAAGUCGAAACUGGGUUUGACCCACGAAUACCACUACGAGGGACUAACUAUACAUGGUAUUAAGAGCUGAGGGACGAAGGUUACACCAAAAUUAAGUUUAGGACGAAAGCCACACUUCGCGAUUAGUUGCAGGACGAAAAUGCACUUUACUCUUUUGCUUUUGGCAGGAACCCAAAAUGUAUUUGGAUAUUGUUCAGGGGUCCUGUCAGUGCCAAUAGCAUUCCAGUUUCUCUCAAAACCUAAUCCUUCCAUUCUGGGAAUCCUGUGAAGAAUCAACUUCUUGAGAACAUCACGCGCAGUUUGAUGCCCUUUGAGUCCUUGAACAUCCCUGUCUCAAGAAGAUUCUUCAACCUAUCAUUUUCUCCCGAAAUAGCACAUUUUCCUCGGAUGAGGGUUAGUUUCAUCAGGAAUAUCAGUUGCAUUUCUGUCAGCAGUAGUAGAUGUUUCUGUAAGUGCAUCUAGUGCCACCCCUUGUUGGUUUUGGAGUAUUGACGACAAACUUGGUUAAGGGACUAAUGUGUUUGUGACAUUCACAGGAGAACACUGAUAGAAGUCCCCGGAGAUUCGGUUUACCCAUCAAAGAUGACCCUUAAAAAUGUGUGAAGACAUUGAAGAUAAUGGUGGUAUGCGAAGACUUUCACUUGAAGACAAUGGAGCGUGAAGACAUAGUCUUUUGGUAGUUUCAUUUUCUUCUCUCUUGAGUCAUAGGAACCACCAUACUGUUAAGUGGGUUCGGGGUAAACAAAGUUAGAAACUGGCGUGAUGCUCAACCUAAAAUCCUAUGUCUUUGAGUGAAGAAAAUGAGAGAAAACCUCUUCCAGAGUUGGUUGAGUCAGCUUUGCUUGUAGCCCAAGCCAAGCUGCUACGUGUGUUUGAAAUCCGACCGUUGGACACGUGUCGGUUGGCCACUGAUCUAGGGUCAGUUUGGUCAUAUCAUGCCGGGUUGCCCUAGCUAUAAAUAUCCCACACCCUCCACCAUAAGCUGGUGGCGGUUCCGAGUUAUUGCAAGACUUUUGUCGUUUGAGAGCAACCCACCUCCGAAGUCUUUGAGAGAGAAUUCCCGCGAGGAAAAACCCAAACACCCAGAGCCCAAAGUGAUUGAGCAUCACUGAAUUUAUUCUGUUCUGCGUGAAUUGAAGAUUUGUUACACUUGAAGAUUGUGAUCUUCCAGCCGGUUAAGCGUCGCGUUCUGAGCAUCCAAGAGUCAUUGUGGAUUGCGGUGUACAAAGUCCGUGAAGGUUUGGAAGUCUACCUUGAAGACUUACCUGAGUGAUUGGGCGAGUCUACAGUGACCUUAGCUCAAGGGGAAUAAGGUGAAGACUAGGUCUUCUGGGUUCAGUAUCAACCUCCCUAACCAUACGUACAACUGUCAUAGAAGCUGGAACUGGUCAAACAAAUUAUGUGUCUUCUCCGAGCAACUGCUUCUAUCACUUCACCCCUUUACUUACUAUUUAGUCUCGUGAAGCCUUUACUUGCUAAUUCUUUUUGAAGACAUUGUGUGAAGACAAUCCCUCUGAUUACAUCUUUGUCAUUACAUUAACAGUUUCCAUUGUUCUAUGCUAUCUGGUUUGCUGUCUGUCUUCACUUCCCACUUCAAUUGUGUUAAUAUGCCAGCAUGCCUAGUAUAGUUUAUCUUCCAUUAUACCAUGUUUACUUACUAUUUUGCUUCCACUUUUUUGAAGACAUUGCCUGUUUCAAAGACAAUCAUAAAAAUUGCCUAUUGACCCCCUCUAGUUAAUAACUAGCACUUUCAAUUGGUACUAGAGCAACUUUUUCUGUGUGAUUCUCUUUAACCACCUGGAGUUUUAGCUAUGUCGACUACAUGGAAUCAAGGUCUCUGCUGCGUGCCCCGUCUUCGAUGUCACUGGUUACCCCUACUGGAAGAAUAAGACACUCAUGCAUCUUGAAGCCAUCGACAAUGACCUCUGGUAUGUUGUCAGGACUGGUGUUCCCAAAGUCGGUGAAGGAGUCACCGCAGCUGAUGUGAAGAGAUUUGCUCAACUGGAUUCGACCGCCAAGAAAAUCAUAUGCGGUCAUCUAACCAAAGGGCAGUAUGGUCGUGUGAGUGCUCUGGAAUCUGCGGAGCUGGUCUGGGACUGGCUAUCCAAGGUCAAUUAAGGUGUCUCAUCUCAACAAGACUCUCAAAUCGAUGUUCUUUGCAAUCUCUUCAACCGCUUCAAGAGGCUUGACAAAGAAAAUGUUCAGCUCACUUUCGGUCGUCUCACUGACACCACCAAUGAGCUUCAUGCUCUCGGCGCCACUAACAUCACCAAGCAUGAAAUUGUGAAGAAGCUGCUGAGGUCCCUUGACAAUUCAUUUGACACCCUAUCUUUAAUGAUACAAGAGCGUCCUGAUUUCAAGCUGUUGGAUCCCAUCGAUAUUCUUUAGAGGCUCAAUACUCAUGAAUUCCAGCUAUCUGAGAAGAGAGAUAUCUAUGGUCCUAGCUAUGGAUGUGCCUGUGCUCUAAAGGCAAAGGUUGUGUCUUCGUCUGAAGAAUCUGACUGCAGUUCCGGUGGCCCUGAAGACAUUGACAGAGAACUUGCAUUGCUGGUGAAGAAGUUCUCCAAGAAAACCGCUUCGGAAAGUCUUCAAAGUAUGACUCGAAGAAGGCAGAGACUUCUACUCAUGACUAAAAGAAGAGAACUUUCCAAAUGCAAGAAGCCAAGCCACUACAUGGCUGAAUGUCCUCUCUAGGAAAAGGAAUCAAAGAAGAAGAAGAAGAAGAAGCAGAAGAGCAAGGAUGACUCUAACGAAAAGAAGAAGAAGAAAUACUCAAAGUCUUGUUCAAAGAUCUCAUCGCACAAAAAUAGUUCCUCCAGCAAAGCUCGUGCAUUCAUCGGCAAGGAAAUGGAUUUAGUGGAGGAGUCUACUUCUGAGGAAGUGGUGGAGGAGUCAGUUGAGGAGUCUAAUUCAGGUGUGGCAAGCCUGGCUCUAGCUUCUGCAUUCGUCGCCAAGUCCAUCUUCAGCAAUGAAGACAAUGGCUAUGUCACCCACACCGAAGCCGCUGCCGCCGACUCUGCUCCUGCUUAUUGCUUCAUGGUGAUACGUCCUUUUAUUGAUCCGAUAUUGGAACAGAAAAGAGUACCCCACACCUAUUUCUUCAGAGGUGACCCUAGUUUAUCAAACACACGAGAGGAAGACUCCCUUGAAGUGUUGGUCUCUAGCAUGCUUUUGUCAAAGUGCCAAAUCCAGCUUUUGACCGGAUCAACAAGCAAAUGGUCAUUUAAACACCUAUAAUAAAAAGAGGUAUUGGUAUGUGGUCUUAUGCUUACAACCUUGUAUUUGCACGGAGAUCAAAUAGGAUAUUAAUUUGUGCGCUGGAUGUCACCCAUCAAGAUGUGCUUAUCACAAAUCAAAGUGGGGAAUGUGUCCAAAUAAAUCUUGUCCGACACGAGUCCUACAUCAAGAAUCAUUUGUCCUACUACAGGCCCUAUCCGUCGCGCGAGGUUGCCUCGAUAAUUAAGAUAAUGAAAUCAGACAAGAGCUUUGGGCAUUUAAUGACUACACCUCAUUUAUCCCCAAGGAUAUGAUCCAUGUUACCCUACUAAACCUUACUAUCAACGGUGUUCGGUAUAACACUUCAUGGUCUCCUUGCUCCUAGCCUCACCGGUGCUCGAUCUCCAUGAUCCUGGGUACCUACACAGAUGAAUAUCGCGGACAAGAGAAGAGACAUCUUCACAGAACAAUUUAUUUCACACAUACGGGACGUUAUGUCAAAGUCUUCCAUUGAUCUCCUUAACAAAUACCUUGGGUUGCAAGGCUCAUGCCUCCACCCAUACCUUACCAAACUACUCACACAUGGAGAUCAGAUCACGGGAAGAAAACACUGAAGAACACAUCUUGAGAUUGAUUGAUUGCAAUAUAUCUUACAAUGGAGUGCGAUGCACGAUUACAAGUAUGAACUAGAUGGGAGAGCACUAUGGUGGUGGUGGAGAUGGCUAUGGAGAUGACGAUGCGACCGCUAGGGUUUGUGGAUGAAGAUGAUGUUGAAUAGGUUCUGGCUUCUAUGCUCGUCGCCCUAUUGACAUCUCGAAGGGGUCCCUUUAAUAAAAGUUGUUCAGGUGGACAAUCUGCCUCGAAAUCCAUGCCAAACGGGCGCUCAUACGGGCGCAAGCGCCGUCUUUCGCUCUGUUUUUGCAGAAACGCCUCCUGUUGAUUUCUUCUUCCUCCAUUCUCCUUCUAUUCCAUUUCCACGCAUGAUUUGUUCACUUUUUUAGCCCAUUUCAUGUGGAAACACGUUAAAGAGAGGAUUUGUGGAAUCCUUUGCAUCCAUUAGUCAUUAGUGGCAAUAUCGGAGCGAAUAUCUCUUUUUAAAUGAAAUAUCUCGGUUUAAACAUAGGUGAAACGAGUGUAAAAAUAUCACUCAUCAACUCCCCCAAGCUUAAACUUGAUUGUCCUCGAGCAACAUAAAGAGAAAUCUGAAUCAUAAGUAACUCAGUUGUUUAAAUUGAAAUAACGAGAAGGUUUUGGUUCACUUACGAUCGAUACAGCUAGAUAGCCCUUCGCUUCUUGACCUGAAAACUUAGCAUAGCUCCAAUGGUGGCAUGAUUAUAGUGCAAGUGUUAGUUAAGCAAACAUAAUCAACACAAAGUUCUUGAUCUAUUAGACAAAACAAAUUUGCAACACUCUAUUCUAUUUAGUCUAGACAACACUUGCUUGCCGGGAAUGAACAUAAGAGUUUUUGUUUAGAUGGAGCCAAUAAAACAUAGGUUAGGAAGUGAAAGCAUGUAGUAAAAUAUGAUGCUCUAAUGCUCUUAAGCACACCCACAAUCAUUUCCUCCUCAAGGCUCUUAAGCACUUUAUUUCAAUCAUUGUGUGCUGGAACUUUGAUUGUCAUGUGAAGGGAUUAUGCCAAGAAAGUGGUCAUGCAUAGGUUUUUGCCGUGGCUUAAUGUUUAGGAACUAUGGACCUCUGAUACAUGUCUCUUGCGAGCUCUUUUGACCAAUUCCUUUUAUUUACCACAUACACACCAUUUCAAGAGAAAGCCAAAUAAUAUGCAUUUGUAGUGUUGCCACUAUGUACGCAACAAACUCAUAGCCGAAAUCCGAGCUAUCUCUCUUGCUGGAUCAUUCAUUGGCCAGUGGAGUCCUCAACAUUACAUCAAGAAGGCGAAGAAGCCACAUUUGCACACGUACACGUGCAUAUAGUAGCAGAGCCAUGGCACCAACAAGGAGCUGAAGCACCAUGUAAGAGAUACGACACAGAUUUUUGGCAUAAUCUCAUUCACCUUUCAACUAAGUUCCUCUAGACAAUUUAAUCCACAAGUGCUAUUAAGUCUAUUAAAAUUAAUGGGGUUGAGCAAUUCAAAAUGCAAACGAACUCCAAAGGGCCAGAUAAAGAACAAGAGCAAUGAUACGUCUCCGUCGUAUCUACUUUUCCAAACACUUUUGCCCUUGUUUUGGACUCUAACUUGCAUGAUUUGAAUGGAACUAACCCGGACUGACGCUGUUUUCAGCAGACUUUCCAUGGUGUUAUUUAUGUGCAGAAACAAAAGUUCUCGGAAUGACCUGAAACUCCACGGAACGUCUUUUUGGAAAAUAAGAAAAAUACUGGAAGAAAAAUCCACGUCAGGGGGCCCACACCCUGUCCACGAGGGUGGGGGGCGCGCCCCUGCCUCGUGGGCCCACUGACGCUCCACCGACCUCAACUCCAACUCCAUAUAUUCACUUUCGGGGAGAAAAAAUCAGAGAGAAGGAUUCAUCGCGUUUUACGAUACGGAGCUGCCGCCAAGCCCUAAAACCUCUCGGGAGGCUGAUUUGGAGUCCGUUCGGGGCUCCGGAGAGGGAAAUCCGUCGCCUCCGUCAUCAUCAACCAUCCCCCAUCACCAAUUUCAUGAUGCUCACCGCCGUGCGUGAGUUAUUCCAUCGUAGGCUUGCUGGACGGUGAUGGGUUGGAUGAGAUCUAUCAUGUAAUCGAGUUAGUUUUGUUAGUGUUUGAUCCCUGGUAUCCACUAUGUUCUGAGAUUGAUGUUGCUAUGACUCUGCUAUGCUUAAUGCUUGUCACUAGGGCCCGAGUGCCAUGAUUUCAGAUCUGAACCUAUUAUGUUUUCAUGAAUAUAUGUGAGUUCUUGAUCCUAUCUUGCAAGUCUAAAGUCACCUACUAUGUGUUAUGAUCCGGCAACCCCGAAGUGACAAUAAUCGGGACCACUCCCGGUGAUGACCAUAGUUUGAGGAGUUCAUGUAUUCACCAUGUGUUAAUGCUUUGGUCCGGUACUCUAUUAAAAGGAGGCCUUAAUAUCCCUUAGUUUCCGCUAGGACCCCGCUGCCACGGGAGGGUAGGACAAAGGAUGUCAUGCAAGUUCUUUUCCAUAAGCACGUAUGACUAUAUUCGGAAUACAUGCCUACAUUACAUUGAUGAAUUGGAGCUAGUUUUGUGUCACCCUAUGUUUUGACUGUUACAUGAUGAACCGCAUCCGGCAUAAUUCUCCAUCACUGAUCCAAUGCCUACGAGCUUUUCACAUAUUGUUCUCCGCUUAUUUACUUUUCCGUUGCUAUUGUUACAAUCACUACAAAAUACCAAAAAUAUUACUUUUGUUACCGUUACCACUACUAUCAUACUACUUUGCUACUAAAUACUUUGCUGCAGAUACUAAGUUAUCCAGGUGUGCUUGAAUUGACAACUCAACUGCUAAUACUUGAGAAUAUUCUUUGGCUCCCCUUGUGUCGAAUCAAUAAAUUUGGGUUGAAUACUCUACCCUCGAAAACUGUUGCGAUCCCCUAUACUUGUGGGUUAUCAAGACUAUUUUCUGGCGCUGUUGCCGGGGAGCAUAGCUCUAUUCUUUGAGUCACUUGGGAUUUAUAUCUGCUGGUCACUAUGAAGAACUUGAAAGACGCUAAGACAACAAUUUAUCCCUCAACUACGAGGGGAGGUAAGGAACUGCCAUCUAGCUCUGCACUUGAUUCACCUUCUGUUUUGAGUAAGCUUGCGACACCUAAACCUGCUUCUGCUAUUCGUUCUGAUAUGUCGCAUGUUAUUGAUGAUGCCACUUCUACUAUGCAUGAUACUUAUGAUGAAACUACUUCUAUGCUUGAUACUACUGUGCCACUUGGUGAAUUUCUUGAUGAACAACUUGCUAGAGUUAGAGAGAAUGAAAUUAUUGAAACUGAUAACAUUGAUGAAAGUGAUGAUGAAGACUCUCCUGUUAUUCCUGAGGGUUGUGUUUUUGAAAAAGAAGCUACUUUAGCUAUUUUAGCUUGCAAAGAUAGAUAUGAGCUCAAGAGGUUAUUAACUAAAUGGAAGCAACAAUCUCUUAAUGCUAGAAUGAAACCUGACCCUGCUUUUGCUACUUCACCUAUCUGUGUUACUGAUAAGGAUUAUGAAUUCUCUGUUGAUCCUGAUAUAAUUACUUUGGUUGAAUUUGAUCCUUUUCAUGGCUAUGAAUCUGAAACUGUUGUGGCACAUCUUACUAAAUUAAAUGAUAUAGCCACCCUGUUCACUAAUGAUGAGAGAACCCGCUACCUUUAUAUCCUUAAAAUAUUUCCGUUCUCAUUAAAGGGUGAUGCUAAGAUAUGGUUUAAUUCUCUUGAUCCUGGUUGUGUGCGUAGUCCCCAGGAUAUGAUUUAUUACUUCUCUGCUAAAUAUUUCCCUGCUCAUAAGAAACAAGCUGCUUUAAGGGAAAUAUAUACUUUUGUGCAAAUUGAAAAAGAGAGUCUCCCACAAGCUUGGGGGAGGCUUCUCCGAUUACUUAAUGCUUUGCCUGAUCAUCCUCUUAAGAAAAAUGAAAUACUUGAUAUCUUUUAUAAUGGACUAACCGAUGCUUCCAGAGAUUUCCUGGAUAGUUGUGCUGGUUCUAUUUUCAGGGAAAGAACACCGGAUGAAGAUGAAAUUCUAUUGAAUAAUAUGUUGACAAAUGAAAAUAAUUGGACACUUCCUGAGCCAGCUCCUGAGCCUAUUCCUAAACCAACUCCAAAGAAGAGAGGUGUUCUAUUUCUCAGUCCUGAAGAUAUGCAAGAGGCAAAGAAAUCUAUGAAAGAAAAGGGUAUUAAAGCUGAAGAUGUUAAGAAUUUACCUCCUAUUGAAGAAAUACAUGGUCUUAAUUUAUCGCCUGUUGAAGAAACUUGUGAUCUUAAUCCUCCACCUAUUCAAGAAACUCAUGGUCUUGAUAACCCGACACAGGUAGUAAAGGUUAAUUCUCUCUAUAGAUUUGAUGAAGGUGAUAUUCCUCACUAUAAGUCUGCUAGACAAUGCUUAGAAGAGUUUGAUAAUUUUAUUGUCAAACAAGAAAACUUCAAUGCUUAUGUUGGUAGACAAUUGAAAUACAAUUCCGAUACGCUUGAACACUUGGGUGAUUAUAUGUCUAGAGUUAAGGGUGAACUUAAGCUCAUUACUAAACAUGCUUCUAUGGUUACCACUCAAGUAGAACAAGUACUGAAAGCUCAAAGAUUUGCUCAAUGAAUUAAAUAGUAAGAAUAAUGACUAUGCUGCUAGAGUGGCUACUAGAACUGGUAAAAUGACUCAGGAACCUUUGUAUCCUGAAGGCCAUCCUAAGAGAAUUGAGCAAGAUUCUCGGAGAAAUAAUAUAGAGGCACCUAGUCCUUCUAAAAAGAAGAAAAAGAAAAAUGAUAGGACUUUCCAUGCUUCUAGUGAACCUAUUGCUGAAACACCUGAGAAUCCAAAUGAUAUCUCUGUUUCUGAUGCUGAAACACAAUCUGGUAAUGAACAUGAGCCUAGUGAUAAUGUUAAUGAUGACGUUCAUGAUGAUGCUCAACUGAGUAAUGAUAAUGGUGUAGAAAUUGAACCUGCUGUUGAUCUUGAUAACCCAUAAUCAAAGAAUCAACGUUAUGAUAAGAGAGACUUUGUUGCUAGGAAGCACGGUAAAGAAAGAGAACCAUGGGUUUAGAAACCCAUGCCUUUUCCUCCCAAACCAUCCAAGAAAAAGGAUGAUGAGGAUUUUGAGCGCUUUGCUGAAAUGAUUAGACCUAUCUUUUUGCGUAUGCGUUUGACUGAUAUGCUCAAAAUAAAUCCUUAUGCUAAGUACAUGAAAGAUAUUGUUACUAAUAAAAGAAAGAUACCGGAAGCUGAAAUUUCCACCAUGCUUGCUAAUUAUACUUUUAAAGGUGGAAUACCAAAGAAACUUGGAGACCCAGGAGUACCCACUAUACCAUGCUCCAUUAAAAGAAACUAUGUUAAAACUGCUUUAUGUGAUCUUGGAGCCGGUGUUAGUGUUAUGCCUCUCUCUUUAUAUCGUAGACUUGAUUUGAAUAAGUUGACACCUACUGAAAUAUCUUUGCAAAUGGCUGAUAAAUCAACUGCUAUACCUGUCGGUAUUUGUGAGGACGUGCCUGUUGUGGUUGCAAACGUUACUAUUUUAACGGACUUUGUUAUUCUUGAUAUUCCCGAGGACGAUAGUAUGUCUAUUAUUCUUGGAAGACCUUUUUUUAAUACUGCAGGGGCUGUUAUUGAUUGCAACAAAGGCAAUGUCACUUUUCAUGUUAAUGGUAAUGAGCAUGCACUUUCCGAGGAAACAACCUCAAGUCCACAGUAUCAAUUCUGUUGGAAAAAUUCCAUCAAUUAUUUUUGGCGGUUUUGAAUUUCCUCUUCCUACUGUCAAGAAGAAAUAUUAUAUUCUUAUUAUUGGGGAUGUGCAUAUCCCCGUUGAGGUAACAUAGUGUUAUUCGAAAUUUCUCCGGUUCCAUGUUAUUCAAAAUGAGUUGUUAAAAAGACUUGAUAAACCUUGUUAGUGGAUUCCUUUUGAUGAGCAUGAGAUGGAUGAAACUAGAAGGCACAACCUUCUAUACCCUCCUUUUACUUUCUGUUAUUUAGUUGAAAUAAAAGUAAAAAUAGUAUUUUCCUGUCUGUUUUCUGAUUCAUCCGUGCAAUAUAAAAAUACCCCGAAAAUAAAAGUUCUCCAAAUGCCCUGAAAAUGGAAUAUGAUUUUUUCUAGAAUUUUUGAGAAUAUCUGGCACUGAGAACACAACAGGAGGGGCAAGCACCUGGCCACGAGGGUGGAGGGCGCGCCCUACCCCCUGGGCGCGCCCCCUGCCUCGUGGGCCCAUGGUGGCCCCCCUCCACUUAUUCCUGCACCCACACACUUCUUCUUCCUCCCAAAAAAAUCACCAUCCAGCUCAAGCACGAGUUCUAGCUCAUUUUGCUGCAAUUUUCGAUCUCCUUGCUCAAAGCACCUCUCACAAAACUGCUUGGGGAGAUUGUUCCUUGGUAUGUGACUCCUCCAUUGGUCCAAAUAGUUUUUGUUCUAGUGCUUUAUUCAUUGCAAAUUUGUGCUGCCUAAGUGACCAUGUUUUUGAGCUUGCAUGUCAAAUUUAUAUGGUUCCAAGUGGUUCUAAUGCUUAAUAUAGGCUCUAGGCACUUGUAGGAGUAGUUGCUAUCAAUUUUAUUGAGUUUGGUUCAUUUUUAUUUGAAGUGACUAAAAAUUUCAGAAUUUUUCAAAAAAUAAUGAAGAGAUUUUUGAGGGGCUCAUCGAGCCGAAGCUCGAAGGAAAAGCAAAGUGAAGAAGCACAGAGGCCCAAAUAUAAUUUGCUCGCACCGCGGAGGUCCGGCCGUGUGAAUGGCCUUCCAAUGAUUUCUUGAGAGAAGCCGGUAUUUAUGAUGAUUUUUAUGAAUUGGCUGAGAAUGCAGGCCUCAUCGACUUCCUCCGCGACCAACGCAAUCAGUAUCUCUUACUCACCAAUACUUUUGUGCAAAACUUCUACUAUUAUCCUAAGGAAUCACCUCCUUCAGUAGAGUUUCAUUUAUAUGAUGUUGUUAAGAAGAUGCCACUAGAUGAAUUUUGCAAGGUUUGCAAAAUACCUUUUGAAGGUAGUUUAGAGGAACCACAUCGUAAAGAUGUGGACGGGUUUAUUGAUACUAUUACUGUGGGGGAAACUAGGAAGGUUUCCGAUGCAAGAAUCACUAGCAUACAUUUUCCUAUUUUACGCUACUUUGCCAUAUUUGCUAGUCGUUGCUUAAUUGGUCGCGGAAACUGUGGAAGCCUUAGUGUUCCUGAUAUUAUCAUUUUGUUCCAUGGUUUAUUCUGCGAUAACACUGUUAGUAUGGGCGGUAUUAUUGCUAAACGGUUAAGUUUGAACCAUACAAAGGGCCCCAUCUUUGGAGGUAUUUAUGCUUCAUGCCUUGCUGCACAUUAUAACAUACCUAUUAGGCACUAUGAAAAAGAAGAAAAAUUGCUGCCCAAUGCUUAUUUAGAUUAUAAGAGUAUGGCAGCGCAUGACUUUAUUGUUAAGAAUAGGGAAGGAGCGCUUAAAUACAAAUUGUUCUUUGAUAAACAUCACCCUGAGACUAUUACCUUGCCUGCUCCCUCCUUGUUUAAUUUAUCUGAAGGUCCGUAUGUCGUUCCGUUGGCGGCCAUUCACGCCUACCGGAACCCUACACCAGCCACGGAGCCGGAACCACAAUUUGAACCUCCACGACAGUCUAACUACCAGGGGGAUCCGGAUAUGAUUGCCAACCAGUGGCAGUCAGAGUCUUAUUCAUCUCAGUACGACCCCGGCUACAACUAUGGAUAUCCGCCAGGCCAUCCGUGGCAAUAAACCAACUUAGGCCAAAAGCCUAAGCUUGGGGGAGUACGUAUCUCUCACCGACAUUACAUUUAUGUUCACACACUCAUUACUAGACGUCGGUGCUCAUACUCUUUCACUGUAAUAUCCAUGCUAGUUUAUUUUAUUUUUCUUGCUUUCUUCUUGUGUGUUUAAAAAACCUUAAGAAAAACCAACAAAAUUAGUUGUAGCUUUUAGCUAGUUUACUUUCUUGCUGUAGUAGUAAUAAUUAAAAAGAAAACCCAAAAAGAUUUCCCAUUCUUCUUUUACUUGUUGGGAGCUUUCCCGUGUAAAUAGUUUUAUUUCUUUUCUUUUCUUUGGGGGUCGUUAGGAGAAGACCAUAAUUAAAAUUGUUGAAGUGGCUCUUAUAUGCAUUAUUGUUGAUUUAACCAAGAGCCCAUAUUGCCUUGUCUUCUCCUGUUUAUUGAAUGCUCGCAGAUUCCAGCUUAGUCCAAUGCACGUGCACUCUUAUUAUUUUCACAUCGUUCGGUCGUGCAAGUGAAAGGCAAUUAUGACGAUAUAUGACGAACUGACUGAGAUGAGAAAAGCUGGUAUGAACUCGACCUCUCUUGUUUUUGUAAAUAUGAUUAGUUCAUCGUUCUUGAUUCAGCUUAUUAUGAAUAAACAUGUUUGCAAUGACAAUUAGAGAUUAUAGUUGCUCAUGCCAUGCUUGAUUAGCUAUGAGUUAUAAUGGUUUACCUUGCGUGCCAACAUGCUAUUAAAAUGGUUGUGAUGUGGUAUAGUGGGGUGGUAUCCUCCUUUGAAUGAUUUAAGUGACUCGACUUGGCACAUGUUCACACAUGUAGUUGAAACAAAUCAACAUAGCCUUCAUGAUAUUUAUGUUCAUAGUGGAUUAUAUCCUACUCAUGCUUGUACUCAAUGUCUAUUAAUUUUAAUGCAUGUUCAUGACUGUUGUCGCUCUCUAGUUGGUCGCUUCCCAGUCUUUUG